rnacentral:lncRNA from 1 species
AUCUUGUAAGAUGAGAUUUGUGUGUAUGGAUAGGAAUAAGGGGGGCUAGGCAUCAUAAGUCUUUCAUUUCUUAAUCAUGCUCUUCUUGAAAAGUGGAGUUGGAGAUUCACUUCAAAAGGGGAAGCUUUUUUGGAAACAAGUUGUAGAAGGGUAAGUAUGGGGAGGAAAGAGGGUUUUUUUUUUUUUUUUGAUAGGUAGGGAGGAAAGAGGGAGUUAGAAGUCUUGCAACGUGAGAAAUGGGCAUGGGGUCAAAAUGUGGAAAGCUAUCAAGAAGGGUGGGACCUCCUUGAUAGUAGGGUUGCUUUUGAAGUGGGUGAUGGUAGAAGGGUGAAGUUUUGAGAGGACACAUGGUGCAGGGUGGAACCCUCAAAAGUGUCAAACCCCUUCACUUUGGGCAUUAUUUGGAAUUCUUGGCUCUUGACUAAAGGGAGCUUUUUUUUCUUGGGAAGCAAGUUGGAGAAAAGUUGUGACAUUAGAUUAGCUUCAAAGACGACGAUGACCGCUAGCAAACAAACGCUAUCUGUGUAAAAUCAAACGAGAAUCAACUUAUCACAUUCUUUUUCAUUGCACCAUGUCAAGGGUUCUAUGACAAAUGUUGUUCUCCCUACUUGGUGAAUUAUGGGUGCUUCCUUCUACUGUCAAACAAACUUUUUUAAGCCAGAAAGGCUCUUUUAUACAGAGAAAACAGAAGAAGUUUUGGUGAGUCACUCUAUACAUUUUUUAGACUUCAUGGAAGGAGAGAAACCAUGGAAAGUUUGGAAAUGAAGAUUAGUCUAAGAAUAAGUUGAAAUGGUUGUUCCUAAGUAAUCUAUUAUUAGCUUAGGUUAGGAUGCAUAUAGAAGAAGGUUCAAUGCCAUUGAUUGAUUUUGUUGAUGAGUUAGGAUCAUGGUGAGAGAGAGAGAGAGAGAGAGAGAGAGAGAGAGAGAGUUGGUUUCUGAUUCUCUUUUGUGGAUUUGUUGCUUUGUGCCAGUCGUAUAUGACCUGUGUAUUCUAGUGUACAUCUUUCCUUUUCGUAUAUAUACAUAUUUCAUUGCUUAUAAAUAAAUAAAUCCUAUAACACAGAAAAUACUCGGUUGACAAGUUCUGCUACAGUUUGAGAAACCCAAACCUUGGUUGACCAGUUUUCGGUUUAAUCAAGCUGUAUGAGCUGCAGUGCAGUGCAGGAUUUUUUUUUUUUUUUUUUCUAUCAGGCACAAUAAUUUUGAAGCUGCCACCAAGUUGGUUUUCUCUUGUAGCAGAAAGCAAGGGGCAUGUUGACACCAGUCGCACACUUAAAGAAAUUUUAGGUUCAAAAUUGGUGUUAAAGAAUUAGCAGCAAACUUCUAUAUCAUCUCAAGGGACACGAAUAUGGACAUGAACAGAAACAUGUCAAAGAGGUUUCCCAAUGGUAGCUUCCAUCCUAUAUGAGGCCAAACUUUUUAUCCUCUCCACAAUUGCAAUUCAACUUUCCUACUUUGUCUAUCCUAAGUCCUUUUCUGCUAGUAAUGAUUGCAUAAGAAGCUGAAUGGUGAUACAACCUUAUAUUUUGAGAUAGUGAACAUAAAUUAUAUAACUCAGUAAACCCUGAUUUACAAACUAAAGAAUACUUACUGUGUCUAUGCUCCAAAAUGCAGUCAGUGAUGGCAACUGUAUCAUUUUCGCUUGGCUCAACAUCUAUGCUUUCAUAUUCAGAAUGCUUAUCAGGAAGUUUGUUAGUUAAUUCAUCUUGACUGAUGGCUUGGAAAGUAUCAUAGAUGCUAUCCCACAUUCCACUUUUAAUAGAUGUCACCUGCAAUAUGUAACAAGCAACUUAUCAUUUGUGUUCACAAAUAACCACAUCACAAUCAACUAAAACAGCAACGGUCAGUUAAUACAAAAUAUAGAUAAAAAACAUCUGUGACAAUCAAUAAAGCAGAGAACCAAAUAAGCAUAAGCAAAGUUUAGUAAUUACACAAGCACUCUACUCUUUGGAAACACAAAAACUGAUUUUUGAAAGCCAUACUUCGCCAUACAAAAGAAGAAUAAACAGUGCCCUUCCAUAAAAGGAUAACGUUUCAUCAAGAUCCCAUUGUCAAGAGAAAAUGUGAGCUUGGAAUGCUGGGUAUAGGUAAUUAAACAAGAAUUAUUGACAAUACAAUAUCAUCAUUCUGAAUGCAGGUUCAGUGGUUAACAAACAAGAUUUGCAAGGAGUUCAUGUAGCCAUUUUCAUACUGUACAAUGUCUACGAAUAGCUAAGGGUAAUAUUUUAACAAUUACCAUUGUGGUAAAAGGUUGUAGCUAUGGUAAAAUAACAAAAUUGUCUGAUAACUUUAGGCUUUGGUACUAUCUAUUCACACAAGUAAGGAUUGAAUAGGUUCCACCAAGGAGUAUAUGUGAUAUGAUGUUCAUUUCAUAUAGGGGUUUGGGGACUCCAUUAGAGGAAAGACCAUUUGGCAAAUUGUUUGUCUCACUUUGCUUGGAUUGAGUGGCAAGAGAAUGCCAAAUUUUUUCAAGUAGAGAGGUUGUGGACUUUACUUCACUUCUAUUCCUCUUUUUGAGCCUCAUCCUCAUGCACCAAAGCUUUAAAGGCAUCCCUCUCAGUGUUAUUCAACUCAAUUGGCAUUCAAUGUGUAAAUCAAAAGGCUUUUGACAUUAUUGAGAGGAGCUUAGUCAGAAUUUCAGGAGAAAACAUCUUUGUAUAUUGUGUUGUAGUCUAAACCUUUUGUAUAGACUCCUUGUACAGCGGAGGAGUUCAAUCAUAUUUUGAUAAGAUUUUUUGUAAUUGUGGGGAGGACUUCUCAUCCUUCUUAUGUUUUCUUUAACAUUAAUACACACAUCUCUUGUUUAUAAUAAAAAAAUUGAUAAAAUAAAUAAAUAAAAACCACAGACCCGAAAGAAAAAUGGAAGGAAUAUUUAUGAAUGCAUGAACAGGGAUAGGCAACUGCUGGCCCAGUUGUUUUUCAAGCCCACGAGACUGUAGUGAUGUCGUCUUCAACACUCCAGCGAGUUGGAUCUUCUGCAAUGGCGGUCCCGCUAGUUGCACGCUCUCAAGGUCCAAUCGAAGUUAAGGCUGGCGACGAGGCUUUCUCUGGAGAGGAUGCUCGGGCCUUUGAGAUAAAGGCCCAGUCUCUUCCCAACCCUAGCCCACCUUCAGACUCAAUCGUGGGCUAUAUUUUUAAAGGCCCGUUGUGGUUGGGCCAAAGAAUAGGAGGAGCGAUGUCCUCUGUUAAGAAAGGUUGGUCUCGAAAGGAAGAAAAUGAUGCAAUGAGAAAGGGGAAAGCUUCUGAGGUUCAGACAAGAGGCUCUGCGGAGAAGGAAGAGAAGGUAGUUUCAAAGAAGAUGUGGACCACCCUCUUCCCUCCAAGUUUCGAUCGCCGACAAGGACUUCGGAGUUGCAGCGAGCCUCUUUACCUCGGGAAGUCAUCAUCGGUUAGCAAAGUUCGUCUAUUGGAAGAGGAUAUCAGGACGGGAUCUCAGAUGGAAUGAGGAUUCAGAGCGAGUCCUCUCUUUCAUUGUCAUUUCUCAAGGAAUCGAAAAUGAUGUUCGGGGGAAGGGACCCCGUUGUCAAGAGGCGAAGCGGCUUUGUGCAAUCCCCAUUUCGAAGAAGACAUAGAAGGUUUUUUAGGCCGAGUGGAGUCUGAUCUUCGUGGUUCAUCAGUCAUGGAUUCACCUUCUAGUCUAGAAAUCAAAGGUAAAAGACUCAUCUUUGAGGGGAUUUGUGAAAUACCGGGAGUGGAAAACUUGGAGGUAUGUCUGUCUUCACCUUCUCAGCCACCCGAGUCUUCUUCUAUCCCUUCUUGUGGUCUAGCACUUCCUUUGCCAAGUCCCUUUGGUUCAAAUCUUCCUAGUUCAGUCUCUCUUUCUUAGUCUCCUAUGGAAAAUCGAGUAAUUUCUUAAUUUUUUUCUAAAAAAGACGUUGUUGGCACUGUUUUCCAAAAUUAUGUUGGCAUUCCUGUCCGUGAUGAGGAGGAGAAACAGUUUGCUUUAUCAAACCAGAUGUCCGAGAGUUUUACCCCUAGUAAGUCUAAACCCAGCUUGCCUAAGGAGGUUUCCAACCUGGUUACAGGUAGCCAGGGUGAUACUGCGGUCUCCCCAUCGGGCGAGUUCCAUAUAGAUGGCCUGUCCCCCAGGAAAAUGGCUAAAGUGCGAGAGGUUUUAUGCUCUCUGGAUAUUAAGGUUUAUUCCAGGAGGAAGAACAGAUGCUCCACAAGUAGUUGAGACCUGUUGGCAUUGGUUUGGUGGUUUAGGGUCUAUGAGUUUCUCCAUGAAAAUUAUCAAUUGGAACACUAGGGGUUUGGGAUCAAGGAAUAAGCGAAGGGUGGUUAAAGAUUUUCUAAGGUCAGAGAAUUCGGAUGUUGUGAUGAUUCAGGAAACAAAAAAUGAGAAGUGUGACAGAAGGUUUGUGGGUAGUGUCUGGACGGUCAGAAAUAAGGAUUGGGCUGCUCUUCCGGCGUGCGGGGCUUUAGGUGGGAUUUUGAUCAUUUGGGACUCUAAAAAACUGCGUAGUGAGGAGGUGUUAAUAGGAUCCUUCUCGGUCUCAAUCAAGUUUGCUUUGGAUGGUUGCAGACCUCUUUGGAUAUCCACAGUUUAUGGCCCAAACAGCCCCUCACUUAGGAAGGAUUUUUGGGUGAAACUUUUAGACAUUUUUGGCCUAUCUUUUCCGUUAUGGUGUGUGGGCGGUGAUUUUAAUGUCAUAAGGAGAAGUUCAGAAAAAUUGGGGGGUUCUAGUCUAACUUCAAGCAUGAAGGACUUUGAUAGUUUUAUAAGAGAAUGUGAAUUGCUUGAUCCACCUUUACAGAACGCAUCAUUCACUUGGUCAAACUUGCAAGAGUCUUCCGUGUGUAAGAGAUUGGAUCGUUUUCUUUACUCAAAUGAGUGGGGGCAGCUCUUUCCCCAAGGCCUUCAAGAAGCCGUUCCUAGAAGGACAUCGGAUCAUUGGCCAAUUGUUUUGGAUACCAACCCGUUCAAAUGGGGCCCAACACUUUUUAGGUUUGAGAAUAUGUGGUUGCAACAUCCUAGUUUCAAGGAGAACUUUAGAAAUUGGUGGAGAGGUUUUCAAGGAAAUGGGUGGGAAGGUCACAAGUUCAUGAGGAGAUUACAAUUUGUUAAAGCCAAUUUGAAAGAGUGGAAUAAGGUUUCUUUUGGAGAGCUAAAGGAAAGGAAAAAAAGCAUCCUCAAUGAUUUAGCUAACUUUGAUGCCAUUGAGCAAGUAGGGGGUCUCACUUCUAAUCUUUUAGUUCAAAGAGCCUUAAGAAAAGGGGAGCUAGAGGAAUUAAUUUUAAGGGAAGAAAUUCAUUGGAGACAAAAAGCUAGGGUGAAAUGGGUUAAGGAAGGGGAUUAUAACUCAAAGUUUUUUCAUAAAGUGGCUAAUGACAGGCGAAAUAGGAAAUUUAUCAAAGUGUUGGAGAAUGAAAGGGGAUUAGUGUUGAAUAAUGCCGAGAGUAUCACAGAGGAGAUUUUACUUUACUUUGAAAAGCUCUACGCGAGUCCUACAGGAGAGUCUUGGAGUGUUGAAGGAUUAGAUUGGUCCCCUAUUUCGGAAGAGAGCGCGUCUAGGUUGGAUUCCCCUUUCACUGAAGAAGAGAUUUCUAAGGCCAUUUUUCAGUUGGAUAGGGAUAAGGCGCCGGGGCCUGAUGGCUUUACCAUUGCAGUAUUUCAAGAUUGUUGGGAUGUGAUCAAGGAGGAUUUAGUGAGAGUGUUUGCAGAGUUUCACAGGAGCGGAAUUAUCAAUCAAAGCACUAAUGUCUCCAUAAUUCUGUUACCCAAAAGGAAUUUGACAAAGAAAAUCUCAUAUUUUAGACCCAUUAGCUUGAUCACUAGCCUCUACAAGAUAAUAGUCAAAGUGCUUUUAGGGCGUCUAAGAGGGGUUCUACAUGAAACCAUUCACUCUACUCAAGGCGCUUUUGUUCAAGGGAGACAAAUUUUGGAUGUUGUUCCCAUAGCCAAUGAGAUAGUGGAUGAAAGAAGACGAUCAGGGGAGGAAGGUGUCGUCUUCAAAAUUGACUUCGAAAAGGCUUAUGAUCAUGUGAGUUGGGAUUUUUUGGAUCAUGUGUUGAAGAAGAAGGGGUUCAGUCCUAAAUGGAGGAAAUGGAUGAGUGGUUGUUUGUCCUCGGUUUCUUAUGCAGUCUUGGUGAAUGGAAACACUAAAGGGUGGGUUAAGGCAUCUAGAGGCUUAAGACAAGGAGACUCUUUAUCCCCUUUUUUGUUUACUUUAGUCGCAGAUGUACUGAGCAAGAUGCUAUUGAGAGCAGAGGAAAGAAAUUUGUAUGGAGGGUUUCAGGGUGGGUAGAAACAAAACUAGGGUGUCUCAUCUGCAAUUUGCAGAUGAUACCAUAUUCUUUUCUAACACUAAGGAGGAAGAACUAUAGUCGCUCAAGAGUCUUUUGCUAGUGUUUAGGCAUAUUUCUGGGCUCAAGGUCAACCUUGACAAGAGUAAUAUUUAUGGCAUCAAUCUUGAUCAAAAUUAUCUUUCUAGAUUGGCUAAGUUGCUUGAUUGCAAGGCUUCUGGUUGGCCUAUACUCUAUCUAGGCCUUCCUUUGGGAGGGAAUCCCAAGGCAUGUGGCUUUUGGGAUCCAGUGAUUGAGAGAAUCUCAAGAAGAUUAGAUGGGUGGCAAAAGACUUACUUAUCUUUUAGAGGAAGGAUAACUCUUAUCCAAUCUUGCCUCACCCACAUGCCCUGUUACAUCCUCUCCUUGUUUAAGAUACCCGCUUUAAUGGCUGCAAAAAUUGAGAGGUUGCAAAGGGAUUUUUUAUGGUCAGGGAUUGGAGAAGACAAAAGAGAUCAUUUAAUUAGUUGGGAUGUAGUGUGUAAACCGAAGGCAAAAGGCGGAUUGGGUUUUGGGAAGAUAUCUCUAAGGAAUCUCGCUCUUUUAGGGAAAUGGUUGUGGAGGUACCUUAGAGAGGGUUCAGUUCUAUGGCAUCUGGUCAUCUUAAGCAUUUAUGGAUCACACUCUAAUGGUUGGGAUGCUAACACUUUAGUCAAAUGGUCACAUCAUUGUCCUUGGAAGGCUAUUGCACAAGUCUUUUAGGAGUUUUCCAUGUUUACUCGGUUUGUGGUAGGAAAUGAGGAAAUAAUUCGUUUCUGGGAAGAUUUAUGGUGGAGGGACCAACCUUUGGGAUCCCAAUAUCCAAGACUAUUUAGAGUAGUCUUGGAUAAAAAUGUUCCUAUUUCAUCAAUUCUCGGUUCUACUCGUCCUUUCUCUUGGAACUUUAAUUUCCUCCGUAACCUUUCAGAUUCUGAGAUAGAAGACUUAAAAGGCCUCAUGCGGUCACUUGAUGGUUUGCAUCUAUCACCUCCGGUUUCAGAUGCCCGAUCUUGGCCUUUAUCUCCUUCAAGGCUUUUUUCAGUCAAAUCUUUCUUUCUAGCCUUAUCCCAAUUUUCUGGUUCUCUUCAGGUUUUUCCUUCUAAGUUCGUUUGGAAAUCUCAAGUCCCUUUCAAAGUGAAGUCCUUUGUCUGGUUAGUGGCACACAAGAAGGUAAAUACUAAUGACAUGCUACAAUUGAGAAGACUCUACAAAGCUCUUAGUCCUGAUAUUUGUAUUAUGUGCAUGAAGCAUGGGGAAUCAACAGAUCAUCUUUUCCUACAUUGCUCUCUGACGAUGGGGUUGUGGCAGAGAUUAUUUCAGUUAACCAAGAUGGAUUGGGUUCCCUCGAUGAGCAUCUUUGACAUGAUGUCCAUCAAAUUUAAUGGUUUUGGUUCAUCUAAGAGGGGGAUAGUUUUGUGGCAAGUUGCGAGUGUCGCUUUAAUUCGGGUUUUUGAAGAUAAAACAAGGAAUUCAGAGUAUCUUUGGGAUUUUAUUUUUUUCCUUGCUUCUCUUUGGCCUUUCUGUUCCAAGGUUGUUAAAGGAACUCCCCUUAAUGUAUUACAACUUGACUGGUUAGCGGUGUGUAAUCCCAUUGGUCUAACCUAGAGUGUUCGCUUGUUUUACUGCGCACUUUCUUGUGUUUGUAUUCUUGUAAUUUAGUUUUCUUUGGUGGGAGGAUUUCUCAUCCUUCUCUUGUACUUCUUUUUCUAUCAAUAUAUCUCUUUGUUGUUUCCUAUCCAAAAAAAAUCCCUAUCAAUUCCUAAGAUAACCAUAAAAUUGGUACCAUACAGGAUUUACACUCAAAGACAAAACUUAUGGAACUAGCUUAAACUACUAGAUCAAUGAAUAAUCACAGCAUCUUGACAUUUUUUUUAGCAUUCCAAAUACCUAAUCUUACUUUACUUAAAAUGUUAUACAAAUUCUUGGCUAAUUUAGUGAAAAACUAUAUGGUAGAACCUUCUCAUAAUUUUCCAAAAUCCAAAAUUCUAAUUUUAUCCAUGUUUUGUGCCUUUUUUCUUUAGUUCACACAGCUCCAAAUUCUUUUCCAUCUUGCCUCAUCUCAACUAGGACUGCUUGCUUGAACCCAAAUUUCCAAUUCAAUACUACGCAUAAAAGCAUUACACUUGACUGGGGUCAUGAUUUUAAUUUUCAAAUCUAUUUAUAAAUGUUUACUUUGUUGAUAGAAAUUUCCUGAAUUACACAAUUUAUGAACUAAUUUUGGCAGUCAUCUUUCUUAAUAUUUAAAUAUUUAAUUUCAAGCUUCCUAAUCCUAUUAAAUUUGUUUCCUCUCUCUCUCUCUCUCUCUCUAUCUCUGAUUCUUUUUUGGCUAACUCAAUGUAGCAGUACUUUAUUUUGUUCAUGCAUGGUCUCUUUCUCUUUUUGAAUCUAUUUUGGCAAAUUUAAUGUAGCAGUACUACUUUAUGAUGUUCAUGCAUGUCCUCUUUUUCAAAUUUACAAAAAGGGAAAUUUUCCAUCCAAUAUUUUAAUUUAUUUCAGUUGGUGCAUGGGUUCUACAACAAACAUAACAAUUUUCUAAGAUGCUAUAUAUGCAUCCAUUACUAAAUUUCAAGCUCUAAAAUUCCAAAUAUAAUUAUUAUCGUGCUAUAUAGACUUUGCCUUUAUCAUCACGCUAUAUAGACUUUGUCUUUGAAACUUUAGUAUUCAGUAUUAGGGAUUUUGUUCAAAUUAGUCUACAAGCAAUUCCAAUCCAAAAACCUCCUUCUCUUCCCACCUUCCUGGUCCCUCACCUCUUUUCUAGCCUUCAUAUAUUUAAGGAGAACCAAAGUCUUCACCUCUUAAUCCACUAAAGGCUGUCCAAAAAACCGAAACUUCAUGAACACUGAGAAACUAUUUCCCAACCACACUUCCAACUCCUCUCUUUUCCUCUUGAUUGACUGUAAUUAACCAAGCACUCUAGCGUCCACGGCUCCCUGUCAAAACAAGAGGCAGAGAAAGGCAUCCUCUUCUUGCUCAAAGGUUGCCACCCUACAACCUUUUUUGGCUUCCAUCUUCAUCAACAAGGACACAAUUUUAUUUUCAUAACCAUCCACUGGUAAUCCCAAAAACUUGUUAAAGGAGACAAAAGUCCCAAAAGAUAGAUCCAAAAGAUUCCCAUCUCCCAUAACAUCCCAACUGGGACUACCAUUUCUUAAAGCCACCUCCUCACAACUCAUUUUUAGUUCUACACUCUUGGAAUCUUUAGACUGAUGCUCCCAGAAGUCCACAACUAAACCCUCAUGAGAAAUCAUUCACAAAGGAUCAUAACCACCACCCUUGCAAUCUACUGGAAACCCCUCAUCUUGCUGCCUCCACAGAACCAAGCAAUUGGAAUCACCAGUGAUGAGCCCCCAUCGUUGGAGAAAGAAGGAGAAGAAAUAGGAGGCUGUCAAAAGAGCAAUUGACAAUAGCUUACCUAUAAAACUAUCUGCUUUGAACAAGAGAGUCGCACUAGUAGAUGGCAUUCUGUCCACCUAGCUCAUGCAAGAUGCAGAGACCAAGGAGAAGCUCCUGGAUGCCCAAGCUUCCAUAACCACACAGCAAAAUAGGUCUAUCAAAGACGGCUUUAAGCUAGCCCACACCAUAAUUUUCCAGGCCUGCAAGAGUCCUCGGCUGUCAAGGCCAAGCCCAAUGCAACGAGGGGCUCACCUUCAAUGAGAGAGGAAAGGCCCAUUGAUGGGAACUGGGAUAGGGCAACAAAAGAGAAAAAGGGCUAGAAGUUAGGCCACUGGCCCGCCAGGAACCAUAAAUAAAAGCUUAGAGGCCAUUCCCCCACUUAGCCCACUUAAUGCCACAUCUCUACUGCAAGCAAAAAAGGCUAGUCCCGCCCCUCUUGGACACCACGCCUUGACUUCGAGAGUGACGCAUACCUUUUUACUUUUGACACGCUUCCCAUCCUCUAACCCAUCCACGCAUGGCCUACCCUCACUGUCAUUCCUAACCUCGUACAUCCUAGAAUCCUCCUUCAGAGAAACCAUCAACAUCCAUGUUGGAUCUCCCACCAUAAUUGAACAACGUAGACUAAAGUCUUGGCUGCCACAUGCAAGAACCCUCCUCCUAUCAGAACUUACUAGGAUUCUAGCCCAUUGCAGAUGGAGUCUCCAUUGUAUCCAUAUCCAUAGCCACAAAUCCUCCACACACAUCACCCACCAUCUUAAAGAAUUUUUUUUUCCCACAAGUACAAUGACAACCCAACCACUCUGACCCAAAUUUCUUUUGCACAAACCCCUUCCCUUAAACACCCAGCUUGAGUUUCUAACCUCCAUUAAUCCAAUUGCAAUCCCUUUCCUUCGAAAGAGCCAAAACCUAUAUGCCACAACCUCUCAACAUCUUUAGUGUUCUCAAAUUCCGCAUAAGAGACCCCUUUCUGAGGGGAUUCUUCUACACACUCCCGUAGUUCACAAUCAUAUUCUGUAGGCUCCUUUGUAGGUUUAGGCAAUUGGAAAACACCAAUACUCUUCAAUUUACUAGCUAGGGUCCUCCAGCCCCCUAGAAAGCCCCUUCCUUUUAAAAGAUUAAGGAGAAUCUUUUCCCUUUUGCAAACAAAACAAAACGUAGCAAUAAACUACAAAAUUCCAAUUAAUAAACUCUUCCACAAUCUUUCCACUCCAUCCUUAAAGGCUUUCUAAUUUACCAACACACCAAACUUCAGCGCCCUCCAACAACAUAGAUAGGCCCCUCUCGCCAAAUCUGAUCCAAGAGGAGAGACCUUGCCCUUCCUCCACAAUCAUGUCAACUUCCCUGCAUUUAACCAUCUCCUUCGAAAUCUCAAAGGAUUUUGAUUCAACCCCAUGCCAGCAAUUUGCCCCAUUUUUACAUCUCUACCUACUAGCUUCAGUUGCAUUGACUUUGGUGACCAUAAGAACUAAUUUUUUGUACUUAGUGAUAUAUGAGUCAAUGACAAAUGUUAGCAUGUACAAUACUGCACAUGCUCUCUAAGUUUUGUCACACUUCGCUUAAGCUUGCCUUAGGUUACACCUUGCACCUAAGCCUCAGGAGAUCUAGACCAACAAACUUGGAAGCUGAUAAGUUGACCAAAUAAGGAGCUAAUCUUUUGUGGACUUCAUUGGGAUCUCAUACUCCCUUGAGAAGUCCUGGUGGUUUUUCAUAGAGUCUUUGUUUUCAUAUGUUUGUUUUACUUAUAACAAUUACAAGUAUAAUUCCUAGUUAAAAGUGGCUUGCUAUGAACUCAAUUCUUUGAGAGGGCAAUUGAGCAUCUUUGAGUCUGUAAGGCCUUGCUUCAAAUAUUUGGGCCUUAAUCACAGGCUAGGUUAAUUCCAAUAACAUUUGAGAUUGGGCAAUCAACAUUUUGAAUCUAAUUCAAGUAGAUUUAGGUCAAGGACAGCUGGUUUUCUAAUAUGUCUACCUUCCUACCACUCAUCCACACUCCAUCAAAUUUCCUAACGUUGAACCAAUUUUUCCUCCCCUAUGAACACCAAGAGGGAAUGAGUUAAGUACAUUAACCUAUCGAGUACACUUGGCUCAAGAACAAUUUCCUUCUAUUCAUGCCCUAAGUGCAAUACACUCAGCUCAAGAACGAUUUGUGUCUAUUCAUGCCCUAAGUGCAACACACUCGGGUCAAGAACAAUUUCCUUCUAUCCAUGCCCUAAGUGCAACUCCAACAGACAUCAGCAAGAGAUUUUGAAAUAACUCCCCUUGACGCUCCCUCAAGAAAUAUUUACAGGCUUCAACAAUGGGCCAUCUGAUUAACCCAGCUUUAAGUGCUCCGGGAACUUACUAGUUUUUAACAGCUAUCUCCAAAAAUGAACCUGACUAUCUAACACCGGCAACCCAAUCCCACACAAAAAGAUAUGCGCUAUUCAAUAAAUCAAUAAAUAUUUGCUUAGAUGGUGAAAAAUGGUGUGAUGCACACCAUAUCCUACAUGCUGCCUCUGCAUCAUUCAUGCAGCUGAAACCGACUCUCCUGUUGUGCUUAGAAUUUUGCAGAUCACUGCUCCCGCUCAUAUGCACACAGCAGCUUGGCUCCUCCAUUGCUUAGACCCUCCUUGUGAACCAUACUCCCAUAUGUGCUAGAAGAAAAGGCAUACUAUUCAACCUUCAAAUGCCUUUUUUGCCAGUUUACUGUUCAUCCUUCUUGAAAAAUUGUCCAGCCACUACAGUUGGACUCCUUCAAUAAUACCAUGGAAAAGAGUCUCCUAUUCAUUCAUCUAAAACUCCCUCAAAUUUACCUUCCACACCUUACAACAAGUUUCAAGUAAAUGACCCUAGAUUUACAUUUAAACUUCCAAUAGAAACCAAGAAUCUACCCAAAAAACAUUGCUUUUUCCUUUCUAGAUGCUAUUGAGCCAAGAAAUCUCAUCCUUCUUGAAGCCUAGUGUAAUCAAUGCCUCACAACUCCUCUCUGCAAUGGGGAGCCUAGUCUCCACCACCAUUUUCUUCUUUAAUAUCAAAAAGAUUUCUCUCCACUGCAGGGAAUUGUCAGACCAUGACAAUCUGGCUCCUACCCAUAUCUUAGCUUGGCAUAAGUUUCUUCCACUAAUACCUAUCAAAAAAAUAAUAAUAAGUUUCAUCCACUAAUCCUCCAUACACUUUUCAAUAUUGUAACUCGUAAAGAGACAACAUAUCAUAGUGCUAAAGAAUAGCUUCUGUUCAUGAUAUAAGAAACUUCAAAUGACAUCCUAUUAGCCCAAGAGUAUUAGUGAACUUUUUAGCAGUACUUUACAACUACCACAUUAUUUUAAUGUUUUUAGCCCAUAAGUAAUGUCAUAAUGCUUCGUAAGUUUUGAGUGAACCACCACAUAUGCAAGAUCAUAUAAACAGGAAAAAAUAAGGCAAAAGGAGAUGCAGAAAAUAUGAAUUUACGAUCAUCCAACAAAACAAAGUAUAUAAUAGUCUUACGUAUUUCUAUUAGUCAAAACAUAUUCAUUUAGAGAAACAAGAGUGAAUAGCAUGACCCUUACUACAACGUAAUAAUGUCCAAUCAACUUACAGCAACAUUUAGCAACCCAACAAAUGGGUAAGAUGAAAGCAUUGAUUUCAUUAUCUUUCUUUGUUUAGUUUGUGUGCCGUGGAACUGAAGCAUCCUCUCAAGAACCUACAAGUACAAGAAGACAUCCAUUGAGAAAUAGCAUCUCAUCUUUCAAAGGACAAAAGUUGCACAAAUAUGAAGCAUCCAGCUGUAGCCUGUGCUUAUGUACCUUAACUAGGUUCCUUAUCAAAAGAAAAAAAAAAUAGUAAACAAGAAACAAUAAAUAACAAAAAGAUAUAAUAAAUUAGAAAAUGAAAUGUUGACCUUAAAAAACCACAAUGAAAAAGACAUAAUAGAAGUAAAAAAAUGUCAAAAAUUCACGCCUAACCAAUCACUUAGAUUUUACAUGGGAUAUUGUUUUAGUUUCUAUUUAGGAGCUGAAGCAGGCAAUAUCAAAAUUAGGAAUUAAGCACAUCCCUUACCUCGAACGGAUACUAGCAGCUAGAGAGGAAAGACACACACUAGUUAUCAAUUAGGUUACACCUAGGAUAUUGUUCCAAUCUCCUAUUCCUUGGAUGUUUCAAUGCAACACCAAAAUAAGGAGUGAGAUAUGUCCCUUACCUAAUCCAAACACCAAGAAUGCACCAUUCAAUACAGGGGUGCAAUUCAUGUUGGCGGGUCAUGUUCAUGUCGUGUCAAAACCUGGGUAUUCUACAACAUAGUUUAACCUAAACCCGACACGAAUAACAAUUUUGUCAAAAACACAAACCCAAAUGCUACCUAUUAUUAAACAAGUAACACAUCGUGUAACCCCUUUAUAAUCAAGUCCUAUUUGAUAAUUAGGUUUGGUUAAGUCUUAUAUCUCAACUAAACAUUUUUAUGGAUCAAUUGACCUAUUUAUCUAAAAACAAACUUUAAAAUGAAUCAAAUAUGGGUUAAAUGGUCUAAAGUUAUAAUUAAGUUAAUUAACGGGAUUAUUAAAUGGGUCAAUUCAGGUCAAAUUCAUGUUAUACAAGUUGACCCAAAAACUACCUAUUUAUUAAACGAGUUAUGCAGAUCAACACAAAUUUGACCCAAACCCAAUUAUACUCGAUCCAAACCCACAAAAAGCAUGUUAGAUCUAAGUUAUGUUGGCAAAUCAUAUCAAACUUUACCACCCUUAAUUCAGUAUAUGCCAGCUGUCAAAAAGCUAAAAGCUAGACUAAGAUCCUUAGGCUCCAUCACUUGUAGGCAGGUAUCAAAAGAAAAAUAAAAGAGCACCACCUUCUCUUGCAAGCCAAAGGGCAUGCAGCCUCACAUAUUCAUGACACCAUGGCUUUCUAGCUUGGAGGAGUAUAAAGGUCUUUAGGUUAUAGUAGCACCAUCAGCUAUGCGUGCCUUUUAAAAUGCAAGAUCACAUCUAUGUAGGUAUCUUUAUCUUUUAACUUCAAGAGGACAUAUAUCAAAACUCAAUAACUAAGCUCCAUUUGACAAGCUUCUCAUAGUCUACAAGCUUUUCUUGACUGUUAAAGCCCUCGAAGCAUAAAGUACUUUAGUAGAAGAUAUUUGGAGCUUAAAAGCCCAUUCCAAACAGUUGGAGGCAAGUUCUUUUGCAGAAGAGCUCAAAGCAGAUUUCAAACUUAAAGUUUUAUUUUUACAUUUUACUACAUCAAAUAGGAAGGUAUUCUUUUGCACAGAUAUAUACAAAGAACUAGUUCACUAGAAGCCACAACUAUCAAACCCUCUACAGAUGGAGCUUUUGGAUUUUCAUGCUAUCAGUUUUGCACAAGACUACUUGAACUAAUAGAUGCCUUCGUUAAUAUUUAUAAACAUAAGAUCACGAGAAGCAUAGUGCCAAAAGAAAUACAAAGCUACAAAGAAAGAGAUGAUACAAAUUAAUUGAAAAUAUAGUCUGGCCAUUAAUUCAUACUUGAGUGUAGGAGCAUGAACAAACCUCAGCUAUGGUGUGCUCUUGACAUGCCUCCUUCCAGGUUGUGAUGAACAUCCUCAUAGAAUCAUUAGCAAGCAAAAAAUCCGCUUCAUUCAGAUUGUUAAGCUCCUUUUUCUCAUUGUCAUGGUCCACUGAAAGAGGAACUAGUUCUAAUUUAUUUCUUUUAGGCAAUUUGAGGUAUUUUGAAACAGUGCAACUUCGGUUGCUGGACUUUCUUUUCCUUUUAAAGGGCCCAGUAUUCUCACUGUGCAUUGAACUGCCACUAGCAGAAGGGUUUCCCUCUGUUUCACCUUUCAAUCCAAGUCGGGUCAUCUCUUCAAUUGCUGAUGGGUAGGGGCAGCUACUCACUCUGUCACGAGUUUUGGAAUUUGGUGAUGAAAACUUGCUAUUGCUGCACCCAUCAAUGUCUUCCUCACUCUCUUCAUAUUUAUGAUCAUCACUACCAUCCUCCUCUGAACAUGAUGAAACAAAUAUUGUGUGUUUACCACCAAAAUCGUCGUGUGCUGAGGCAAAUGACUUGACACGCUGGGACAUGGCACUGAAGCGUUCAUCUAACUUCUUUUUCUCUGAAGACCGAAGAGGGUGUUCCCUGAUUUUCUUAUCAGGAAUCUGUUUAAGUGACCCUUGACUCUUCUUUAAAGUCAUAUGUUCUAGCUUCCUAGCUUCACGGAUGAAACUAAUAUGCAUCCUAUGAUCAAAAAGUAGUAAUUCAAUUAGAUAACCAAUAUUUGAAUAAUUUUGAGUUUGCACUCAUUAUUUUUUUUGAUAGGAAGUUUGCACUCAUUAUGGCAGAUGAUGAACACAAGUGCACCAGCACAUACAAUGAACAACACCACCAAUGCUAAAAAAAAAGGCAUAAGAGGUUGCAUUCUGAUCCACUGCAAGUUCUGUUCUCAAAAACUACAAUACCAUAAGAAACUUAACUAAACUAUGAAAUUCAAAUCAUAAAAAGAUAAAAUUUGCAGAAGCAAUCCAUUUUUGAAAAUGAAAGUCCUAUCCUUUUAGCUGUUAAAUUAGACAUGGACAUCAUAUAUAGAUAAAGAAUUUGGUACAUAAAAAUUAGGAAAAAUAUGGCCAAUGCAUUGAAAAAGUAUGAUUCAUAAGGGGUUGCUGACUAGUUUUACUACUAGGUGUGGGUAUUUUUACGCACAUGAAUAAAAGAAAAAGAACAUGUAAAAAAAAUAUAAGUUGAGCCCUUAAGGCCUGGCUCAAGUGGUUCCAAGUUCAAGUCCCAAUGGGGAAAAAAAUUUACUUCUAUAUAUAUUUGAUAGGUAAAUUAGUAAUUCAUUAAAAAGCAAGAGCACAACAAAGCACACCGAAAGUAUACAAAGUGCGCCUAAGAAAACAACAACAAAAAAUGAGCCAAGGAGCAAUCAAGGUGGGAUUACAAAAAGGAUUAAUUGAUUAAAAGGGAUUAAAUCAUCCCAAAUUUGUAAAACUAACCUCUCCCAUUUUUUAACUUGAAGUGUAACCCAUUUUUAACAUAAAUACCUUCAACACUUCCAUUAUUUACAUGUGUGUUUUAAAAGAAAAGGUUAUUUUUGCAAGACAAAAAUGAGGGCAUUUUUAUUCAAAAUGGGUAUUUUUUAGGGUGAAAAAAAGCAGAGGGUUAGUUUACAAGGUGGGGAUGAUUUCAUCCCUUUGAAUCAAAUAACCCUUACAAAAAAUACCCCCCUCCCUUAAUACACACACACACACACACACACACACACACACAUAUAUAUAUAUAUAUAUAUACACACACAAUAGAACAUAAGUUGAAACAACCAAUAGAACCAAAAAAAAGGACAUAACGGUCACAUGAAUAUUAGACAUGUAGUUAUGUAUACUAUUAUCAUCUAAUUAUGUACUAUUAUUGUAAACAAUGCAUUAAAAUGCCUCAAAAGAUUUCAGCAUUUAUUGGAAAAGAGAAGUGAACUUAUACAUUUUGAAACAUUUAAAGAGGGAAUUAAAAGGGAGGGGGGGGGGGGGAGGGGGAAUAGACAAGAAAAAAAAAAACUGAAAAGAGGCUGAAGCAAACAUCCCAACUCUUCCACCACAACCAUUAUAGGAUACAUUAAUGGUAUCCCAGCCCCUUUUUUAUUAUUAUUAAAGUAUCCCCGCCUUUUUUUGUAAGCAAAAAUCAAAAUUUAAAAAUUUUAGUUAUAACUAUAANNNNNNNNNNNNNNNNNNNNNNNNNNNNNNNNNNNNNNNNNNNNNNNNNNNNNNNNNNNNNNNNNNNNNNNNNNNNNNNNNNNNNNNNNNNNNNNNNNNNAAAAAAGGACAUAACGGUCCCAUGAUUUUUAAACAUGUGGUUAUGUAUAUUAUUAUCAUUUAAUUAUGUAUUAUUAUUGUAAACAAUGCAUUAAAAUGCCUUAAAAGAUUUAGGAAAUUUUUGGAAAAGAGAAGUGAAUUUAUAAAUUUUGAAACAUUUAAAGAGGGAAUUAAAAGGGGGGGGUGGGGGGGGAGGGGGAAUAGACAAGAAAAAAAAAAACUGAAAAGAGGCUGAAGCAAACAUCCCAACUCUUCCACCACAACCAUUAUAGGAUACAUUAAUGGUAUCCAAGCCCCUUUUUUAUUAUUAUUAGAGUAUCCCAGCCUUUUUAUGUAAGCAAAAAUCAAAAUUUAAAAAUUCUAGUUAUAACUAUAACACAGAGGUUAUGAACACAACAAAAGAACAUUCUAUUAUGAAUAUCAAUCCACUGUAUGGUAUUUUGCAACAGUUAAGAGAUGACUGUAUGUGGUAAAGGUAAUAUAAAAAUCCAUGAAAGCCGCAAUUACAACCAUUAAAAUCAAAAAGUUGAUUCAUACAUCAUUCAGGCUUGUCAAAAACCAUGAAACAGAAACAUUAAAAACUAAACAAAGAAGAACACAGAGAUUGCCUUGAUGUGAUCAUAGGAAAUAUAUCUAGGUCACAUAUUUUGUUCAAAAAUAUACAUAGAACUGUUCAGCAGAGUAAACAAAUUGGCAGGGAUGAAAAAAAAAAGGGAAGAAGAAGAAGAAGAAAAUUGUUUGAGAAUGACUUUAACUAUGAGACGAUUCUGGGAGAUAAUUGAUGAGUUUCAAUUGAGGGAUUUACCUCUCACAGGGGGGUGCUUUACUUGGUUUGGUGGUCUGAAUAACAGUUCUUCUUCUAGGCUAGAUCGCUUCCUAGUUUCUGAAGAUUGGGAGUCAUUUUUUAAUGGUCUUUGUCAAAGUUUGCCGCCCAAGCCCACUUCUGAUCAUGCACCUAUUCUACUGGAUGGAGGAGGAAUCAGAGGUGGAAAAUCACCCUUUUGUUUCAAGAAUAUGUGGUUGAGAGUGGAAGGAUUCAAAGACUUGGAUAGGAGUUGGUGGAUGGUUACACUUUCAAUUGAUCAUAUAGUCACAUCUGAGCUUACAAGCUAAAGGCACUGAAGCAGGAUCUCAAAGUACCCUCAAGAUUCCAAGGCCAAAAGAAGGGCUGUGGAGGAUUUUAGCAAAUGGGCAAGCAUGGAAAAGAUUUCCUGGAGGCAAAAGUCAAGAGAAGUGUGGCUGAGAAAAGGGGAUAAAAACUCAAGCUUUUUCCACAAGAUGGCCAAUGCACAAAGAAGAAGAAAUUUCUUGUCGACUGUCAAAGUGAACGGAAGAAGAUUGACAAACGAAGAUGAGAUAAGGGAGGAGGUGGUUAACACUUUUCAUAGAAUCUUAUCAGAGACGGAAGAUUGAAGGCCAGGCAUCAAUGGGUUGUCCUUUUUUGCCUUGAACAAGGAGGAAUUAGGGCCAUUAGAGGAUCCUUUUUUUGAGGAAGAGGUUUUUGCAGCUCCUGCUAACUUGAGUGGAGACAACACUCUUGGUCCGGAUGGGUUUUCCUUAGCCUUUUGGCAAUCUUGUUAGGAUAUUAUCAAAAAUGAAGUUAUGGGUUUCUUUGUUAAGUUCCAUGAUCUAGGUCACUUAGAAGAAGCCUUAAGGCCACUUUUAUUGUGCUCAUUUCUAAGAAAGAGGGUGCAAAGGAUUUGAGGGACUUUCAUCCCAUCAAUUUGGUGGGGAGCCUUUAUAAGAUUCUAGCUAAGGUUUUGGUUAACAGACUAAAAAGAGUUGUCAGGAAAGUGAUUUCAAACUCCCAACAUGCUUUUGUGGAGGGAAGACAAAUCUUGGAUGUUAUCCUUAUAGCAAAUAAGGUGCUAGACUCAAGGUUGAAAAGCUCAAAAAGUGGGGUCAUUUGCAAAAUGGAUAUUGAAAAGGCCUAUGACCAUGUGAAUUAGGGAUUCUUAUUAGCAGUCUUGGGGAAAAUGGGUUUUAGGGCCAAAUGGGUAAGGUAGAUGAAGUGGUGCAUAUCCUCGACUCGGUUUACAGUUUUGAUUAAUGGGACCCCUAUAGGUUUCUUUCAAAGUUCUAGAGGCCGAAGACAGGGAGAUCAUUUUUCCCUUUUUCUCUUUAUUUUGGCAAUGGAGGCUCUUUCUAGUAUUUUGAAAGGGCUACAGAGGGUGGCUUCAUUAAGGGUUUCUCGACCAAUGGGAGAGGUGGUGUCCCAUCUUCUUUUUGUCGAUGAUACACUAGUUUUUUGUGACUCAAAUAAGGAGCAUUGGGAGGCUUUGAGUUGGGCUUUCAUGUGGUUUGAAGCGAUUUCUGGUCUUAAAAUUAAUUUGGAUAAGAGUGAGUUAAUCCCAGUGGGAGAGGUUUCUAAUGCAGAAGAGUUGGCUAGGGUGGUGGAAUGUAAAGUGGGCUCUCUCCCUUCUACUUAUCUAGGUCUACCUUUGGGCACUUCCUUUAAGUCUUUACCAGUUUGAGGUAGUGGAGGAAAGAUUUCAAAAAAAAAAAAAAACUCACUAUGUGGAAAAGACGGUACUUAUCAAAAGGGGGGAGAUUGACUUUAAUCAAGAGCACUUUAUCUAGUCUACCAAUCUAUUUUAUAUCUUUAUUUAUAAUCCCACGUAAGGUGAGCCUCAAAUUGGAGAAGCUUCAAAGAGAUUUCCUUUGGGGGGGGAGGGGGGGAAAGCUCCAAAGAAAUCCUCAUUUAGUGAAUUAGUCAUUAGUUAGCUUGGAUAAAAAGGAUAGAGGUCUAGGGAUUAGAAAGUUGUCCACUUUGAACAAAACCCCCCUUGGAAAAUGGAGUUGGAGAUUUGCUUCUAAAAAUAAGGUUCUAUGGAAGUUGGUGAUUGUAAGGGAGUAUGGAGAGGAAGAAAGGGGGUGGUGUUCCAGAGUUUCGAAGAAAGGUCAUGGGGUCGGUCUUUGAAAGGCAAUCUGGAAUGGGUGGAAAGAAUUCAACAAGAAGGUUGUUUUCAGGAUAGGAAAUGGUAGAAGGGUGAGGUUUUGGAAGAAUAAGUGGUGUAGGGAGGAUCCUUUAGCAAUGGCUUUUCUAGAGUUGUUUUCAAUUACCAUUGAUAAAGAAGCUUUAGGUAAACCAAAUGUGGGAGCAGGUUGGGGAAGGGGGUUGUUGGAACCCGAUGUUCAUAAGAUAGAUAAAUGAUUGAGAAUUGGGAAAGGUGGAAGAGUUGCUUAAUGAGUUGUAAGGACAAGUGAUCAAAAGUGGCGUUGAGGAUGUCAUGGCUUGGCGAGUAACAAAGGGAGACACCUUUAUAGUGAAAUCCUUUUACUACUCCCUAGUAGGGCGCCCAUUAAAAGGCUUCCCAUUAGGUAUUGUGUAGAACCCUUUAGUCCCAAUGAGAGUUAGUUUUUUUGCUUGGGAAGUAGUUUAGGGAAAAAAAUUAACUCUAGGUCAACUAAAAAAGAGGGGUUGGUGUCUUCCAAGCAAAUGUUAUUUGUCUAAAGAUAAAGAGGAGUCAUCAAACCAUAUCCUUCCCCACUGUCCAAAGGCGACCUGGUUGUUGCACCUCAUCCUUGCUCUUUUUAAUGUCCAAUGGGUAAUGCCUUUCUCAAUCAAGGAUGUCGUUCUUAGCCGGUAGGGAUCCUUUGUUGCAAAAAGGAAGAAAGUGUGAAGAGUAGCUCAUUUAUGAUUAUUUUGGACCCUUUGGAAAGAGAGAAAUCAAAGAGCCUUUGAAGAUUCAAACUUGACAAACCAUACUAUUUUACGCUCCUUCAUGCACAUGUUUUUGGAGUGGGUCAAGGUAUAUUUAGGGUCUAGCACUUUUGUCUUUAUUUGACUUUAUUGAUCGGUUGGGUUGUAAGUGAACCAAGGGUGUUUUUUUUUGUGAAUUCUUCCCUUUUUUUGGCCUUGUAUACAUCAUGUAUACUUUAGGAGCAUUUUAGGCGCUUUUAAUACAAUUUCUUUUACAUAUAAAAUAUAAAAAAAUAAAAAAAAUAAAAAUUAAAAAAAAAAAGAGAGAGAGAGAGAGAAAACAAGGAGAACAUUCUUGGAUGCCUAUGCUUCUGACUUUGAGUGAGAAUGAGAAGUUCAUGCACAUUCAUCAACUCCCACAAACAUAUAUAUAAAAAAUAAAUAGGAUUAGUUAUAUUUAUGUCAUGUUUACUAAACUUUUGAGGAAACGGAAUAAAAUGAAAGGAAAUAAAAAUUGGAAUGAAGGGAAAUGAAAAGAAUCAAAAUUAGAAAUCCUAUUUAAGUGUUUACUAGAAUAUCAUGAAACAGAAUGAGAAUGGAUCUAAUUAUUUUUUUAUCAGAAACAACAGAUGUAUUAAUUAAAAGUGAAUAAAAACAUGAAGGAUGAAAAACCCUCCCCAUGACAUACAAACCUGAUCAAAAGACCCGAAGAAACCUCCACUAUACAAGAAGGGUUACACAAAAGGAACAAAAAAACAUAUACAAGUAUAACAUCUCCUGAAGCUCAACGCUAGGGUGUACAUAUCAAAAGCCAACUAAGCUCAACCCCAUGGAUCUAAUUAUCACAGUGUCCUUAUACAAAGAGAUAAGAAAUUUUAAUAUUAAUAUUAUUCUUUUUAAAAUAAUCCCCAUAUGAAUGUUAAAUUUCAAGAUGAUUAUGUCUUCAUAUGUAUAUCCACGACUAGUUUCUCUGUUUUGGUCAAUGGAACCCUUUCAUGCUUUUUUCAAGGUUCUAAGGGUUUAAAGCAAGGAGACCCUCUUUCACCCUAUUUAUUUAUGAUUGCAAUGGUGGCACUCAGUUGCCUCUUAGAGAGCAAUGAAUGGAGGUUUUUUUCGGCUUGUCAAGUGAGGGGUGGAGGUGGUGAAGGGGUUUAGGUAUCCCAUUUGUUCGCAAAUGAUACAUUUGUCUUUUGUGAGGCUUCUCAAGAUCAAAUGACCUAUUUAUGCUAGUUGCUUAUGUGGUUUGAGGCCAUUUCGAGGCUGAGAAUUAAUUUGGAUAAAAGUGAGUUAAUUCCAGUGGGAAGAGUAGAUAAUGUGGAGGAAUUGGCUUCAAAGCUUGGUUGUAAGGUCGAAAGUCUCCCUUCCUCUUACUUGGCGAUGUCGUUGCAUGUUCCGUUUAAGUUCGUGGCAGUUUGGGAUGGAGUAAAAAAUAGGUUUUACAAGAGAUUGGCUAUGUGGAAGAGAUAAUAUAUUUCUUAAGGAAGGAGAAUCACCCCGAUGUGAAGCACUUUGUCUAACUUGCCUAUUUAUUUCAUGUCUAUGUUUUCCAUGCCAAGGAUGGUCAGAUUAAGGUUAAAGCAGAUUCAAAGGGAUUUUCUGUGGGGAGGUGGGGCUCUUGAGCGAAACUCAUUUAGUAAGGUGGGCGACUUUUUGCUUAGACGAAAGGAAAAGGGGAUUGGGAUUUAAAUGUCUUUCUACUCUCAACAAGGCUCUUCUUUGCAAAUGGAGUUGGCACUUUGUGAAUAAGAGAGGGGCCUUUUGGAAUCAAGUGAUCAAGGGGAAGUAUGGGGAAGAAAAAAGGGGUAUGUUGUAGGACUGUGGAAAGCAAUUAGGAAGAAUUGGGACCUUGUUAGGAGUAAACUUUCCUUUGUGGUGAGUAAUGGGCAAAGGGUGAAAUUUUGGAAGGAUAAAUAAUAUGAGGCUACACUUUUUGUGUUUCCUUCCCCUCUUUAUUUACUUUAGUCAUCUCUAAGGAGGCAUGGGUAAAGAAUGAUUGGAAUUCCUCAAAUAUAGGGGAGAGUUAGAGCCCUCUCUUCUCUAAACCUUUUAGCAAUUGGGAGGUGGAUGAAGUAGAGAGUUUCCUAUUAUGCCUUUAUGGGAAGAGAGUGCAUAGGGAUGAGAAGGACAAGGUGCUUUGAACAUAGACAAAGAGUGGCAAGUUCUCUAUUAAGUCUCUCUACAAAGCCUUGGAUUUGAGCAAUUCAAUUUCUUUUCCAAUGAAAAUCAUUUGGAAUUCGUGAGUGCAACCCAAAGUGAGCUUCUUUGCUUGGAAAGCAACGUGGGGAAAAGCUUUAACCUUGGACCAAAUUCAAAAAAGACGAUGGUCUUUCGCGAAUAGAUGUUAUCUUUGUCAAACACAUGAAGAAUCCAUAGAUCACAUCCUUCCCCAUUGUGUCAAGACAAAGGUUUUAAGGGAAAUGUUUUUUACUCUUUUUGGAGUGUCUUGGGUGCUACCUUCUUCGAUUAAAGCAACGCUUUUAGGUAGAAAUGGUUCCUUUGUGGACAAAAGCACAAGAAAGUUUGGAUAGCAAGCCCUUUAUACAUUUUUUGGAAAGUUUGAAAGGUAAGGAAUAGAAUUGCCUUCAAAGACAACACGUUUUCCAUCCAAAGGCUAAAAGGAUCUUUUGUUUACUUUCUUUAGUCGGAAACUAAGAUGUUUGUAAAAGUUGGUCCUUCGACGCUAAUUGGUUUCAUUGAUUACUAGGGCUCUCAUUGAGGAUGGGGAUGUUUUUUGCACCUCCUUUUUAGCAAUUUCUUUUUUGUUUGAGUUAUGUGGAGGUAGGUGCAUUUAUCUUAUACACUUGGGUCACUCUUUUGGCGCCUCUUUUUAAUAUACAUAUUCUUCUUUAUUUAUCAAGAAAAAAAAAUUCUUCAUAUGCAUAAUUAAAAUGAAAUUUUACACUUUAUCACUUACAAUAAUUAUUAAGAAGAUAUUUUUAAUCUUCUUUCCAACAAUUUCAUAAAUGAUUAUUAAUAUUUAUAUAAGUAAAAUAAAAUGGUUAUCAAAAUAUUGUUUGUUAAUCUACCUUCUAUGUGCUAAUCCUCACUUUUUUAAUAUUACUUAACAUACAACCAUCCUAAAUUUAGUAAAAAAAUUUAAUAUUGAGCCAAAUAAAUAAAAAUAUGAAUUAGGUUUGAACCUACCCUAUAAUAUAUAAAAUCUCUUUGAUGAUUAAAUAUGUUAUUAUAGCAGCAAUAUGUUUCCAGAGGGAGGGUAACUUUGAUUGGAAUUACUUUAUUCAAUUGACUUAUUAAUUUUAUGUCUUUGUUUUGUAUGCCACGGGUUAUUAGAUUGAGGCUAGAAUAGCUUCAAACGAACAUUCCAUAGGGUGUUAGGGCUUUAAAGUGUAAACCCCAUCUUGUUAAGUGGGCGGUUGUUUGUCGAGACAAGAGUAAAGGGGGCUUGGGGAUCAAAAGUCUUUCAGUUCUUAAUAAUGCUCUUCUUUGCAAGUGGAGUUGGCAUUUUGUGAUAGAGAGAAGGGUCUUUGAAAUCAAGUUAUCCGUGGUAAGUAUGGGAAAGCAAGAAGGGGGUAGGCAAAUCAAGAGGUAAAGAAGGGAUAUGGGAUUGGGUUGUAGAAAGCAAUAAGGAAGGAUUGGAGUAUUGUGAGUUUCAGGAAUUCCUUGGACAUGAAGACUCUAUUGAUCAUUUGUUGCUCCAUUGUGAAAUGACAAGGGUUUUAUGGAAGCUAAUUUUUGUAUUUUUUGGGGUGUCUUAGGUGUUUUCUUCGCCGGUUAAAGAUGCUUUGUUAGGUUAGCAUGGUUCUUUUGUGGGCAAAAAGCGAAAAAAGAUUUGGCAAUCAAGCUCUUUGUGUCUGUUUUGGAAUUGUGGAAGGCCAGGAACAACAUUACUUUCUUUAAUGAGAUUUUUUCUCUUCAAAAGUUGAAGAGGGAGUUUGUUUGUUUUUUGUGGUCUAAGUCUAAGUUGUUUCUAGAAAAGUGACCAUUGACUUUCGUAGGUUUUUUUGAAUGGUUGGGUACUUGUCGAGAUUGUUAAGGUUCUUUCUAUACUCUGUUGGUUGAGCUUUGAUGAUGAAGGGAGGUUUGUUUUCUUGUAUACCUUUGGGUCGUUUUUCUGGUGGCUCUUUUCUCUAAUUUAAGUCUUUAUUUAUCAAAAAAAAUGUUAUUAUCUCAAUUAAAAUUAAUUAAAAUAAUUUUUUAUCUUUAGUUGUUAUGCUAUUAUUUUUAAUUUUUUAGAAAAUAUUUUAUUUUUUUUAAUAUGUUAUUAUGUCAAAUUAAUAUAUAAGUUUAACAUAAUUAAAAAUGUAAUUAUAUUAAUCUCAAGGGCAUUUUUGUCCAAUUUUCAUUCAUGAGGAAAUAGGAAUUUCCUUAAGGAGCUUCAAGGAAACCCUUACUCCACUUUGAAGAAUGAGACUCUUUAAGAUUAGGUCAAUCCCACACCUUUCACUGAUUCCAAGUUUAAGUAAACACUUGGAAUGGAGGGAAAGGGAAUGACUCUCUUUUCUUUAAACAUGUCAUUAAAUAUAAAAUACCAUACACUUAAAGAAUACAUAUGUAGACUGAUCUAACUUAUAGGGUAUGCUUAUGGAGUUGUCGGUAGUUUCAUUCACCCUUCACUACUGCUUCCAGCGCUUUACAACAACCAACUCCAAAGUAUUUCUUUUUUUAAAUGCUUCAAAUAUUUUGUGGAGCAGUUACAAGGAAAUUGACCAUUAGCUGUAAUGCCACAAUGAGAAACACUAACACCAUAAAUGACUAAACUCUAUUAAUGCUGGUACCAAACUUUCUCAAAAAAUGUGUUAUUUAUAUCAAAAUGUAACAAUAGUAAGAAAUGUAUUGCAUACCCCAAGCUUUGAAUUCGCACACCAAGCCUUUCCCUCCCUGUGAGGGAUCGCUUCUUGGCAAUGUACUCCAGGAAUUCUUCAAUAAUAAUAUGUUUAUCUUGGCAAGCUUCCAUAAACUCAUCAAGACAAGAUAUUAUCUCUGCGCUAGUUAUCUUAAAUACUCCUGAUGCAUCAGAACUGAUCGAAAAGUAAUGCAUGAUAAGUGGAUGCCGUACCAAAGGACCCAAUUCAAGAUCUUCAAACUGCUCAACCCCCUCAUUCUUGCAGAUUGCCAUUUCCAAAUCAUACAAUGAAGUAAUUCUUCGAACCCCAACAAAGCAGUGGAUAAAUGAAUUGAUCUAAAUUACACAACAAAAAAAUCAAACAGUAAAUAGAGAGGAUGAAAGAAUGUUAACAUGAGAAAAACUUCACUUAAUUGCUUAAAGAAGAAAGAAAAAUUUGACCGCAGAAUUUUGAUUCUUAUCCUUUCUUUUGCUUUCAUUUCUUAAAAAUAAAGACCCAUUUAAAAAUGCGUAAGGAUCAUGUACAUUUGCACCCUCAAAGGUAGUCUGAGUCACACAACCAAUCAAGUUUAUGCAGUGUUUCAAAAGAAGUGUUGUGUAUAACAUUUGUGACAUAAUGCAAGAACAUUUUUGCAGGGUCCAACUUAUCUUUGCUGGACCAGGAUUCUUGAAUAUUUCCCUACAUACGGCUUUAUCAGUCUCUCUCUCUCUCUCUCUCUCUCUGAUAGGUCAAUGAAAGAACAUAUUAAAAGUGCCUAAUAAGAGAGUGCAAAAAGGUAUACACGUUGUAUACAAACAACCUCAUUCAUUUUUUCUCCUUGUGCUCAUCUCCAAACUCUCUCUCUCUCUCUUUCUUUUCUUUUCUUUUUUGAUAGGUCAAAGAAAGAAAAUUUUAAAAGCACCUAAUAAGAGAGCAUGAAAAGGUAUACACGUUGUAUACAAACAGCCUCAUUCAUUUUCUCUCUUUGUGCUCAUCUCCAAAACAAUGAAGACAAAUUCAAAAUUCUAACUACUGUUCCUCCCAUCCAAUAAAUUCAUUUUUCACUGCCAACCAAGGUUAACCUCACAUUUGCAUGCUAGAAAACUGGGGAAAACAAAAGAAUAGUAUUAUGUUUUCUGUUGUUUUGGCUUCCAGAAACUGAAGAACUUAUUCAACUAAGCCAGAUUUGAAUGCCACACAGUUGGGCGAGAGUUCAUAGUUCUGUAAAAGGCAAGACAUUAAAAGCUCUAGCAUAAAAUUUUACAUUUCUUUCCUUAACCUACAUCUCUUAAGCAACGAAACAGAACCUUUGUCACUCUCUUUAUAAUUUCCUCACAGAACACUCACUUCCUAUAUUUUAAUUUAUUUUCUUGUUCUAAACUUCCUCAGCAACCAAACACAACUUCACCCUCUACUUCGUUGCCAAGAAAACGAAGGGAAUAAAUACAAACUAAUUAAAUAUGUUCUUUCAUUGACCAGAGGGAUUUUUUGUGGGGUGGGGGAGCUCUUGUCCAAAAACCUCACCUUGUCAAAUGAAACUUGGUUUGCUUGGAAAAAAAGAAAGGUGGGCUAGGUGUGAAAAAUUUAGCUUUGAUGAAUAGUGCUAUUUUGUGCAAAUGGAAUUAGAGGUAUGCUAAUGAAAGAGAGGCGUUGUGGAGGCGUGUAAUUAACCUCAAGAAUGGCGAAGAGGAGGGGGGAUGGCAUACUCGGGAUGUAAUUGGGAGAAACGGUGUUGGGCUUUGGAAAACAAUCAGGAAGAAGUGGUGGUUGUUAGAUGGUAGGGUAGCUUACCAUGUGGGUAAUGGGCAAAGAGUGAGAUUCUGGAAAGACAAGUGGUACGGAGAUGGGCCACUUUGUGAGUCCUUCUCCUCUCUUUUCUCCAUUUCCAUGUCUAAAAAUGCUUGGGUUUCGGAGGUUUGGAAUCCCGUUGGAGAUGGGGAUGGUUGGACUCCUCUUUUUGCAAGGGUGUUUAAUGAUUGGGAGAUCAAUUUGGUGGAGCGUUUGUUGCAGAAGAUCCAUGCCUUUAGGGUUCAAAGGGAUGAGGAAGAUAGAGUGAUCUGGUCAGCUUCAAAUGACGGUGCUUUCUCAGUUAAGUCUCUUUAUUCUAUGUUGGAGCGGGGAGGUUCUUCUAUGUUCCCUAGCGAAAGAAUUUGGAGGGUAAGAGUGCCUCCAAAGAUAGCUUUCUUUGCUUGGGAGGCUUCCUGGGGUAAAGUCUUAACUUUGGAGAAUCUUCAAAGGAGGGGGUUCUCUUUGGCAAACAGGUGCUUUCUUUGUCUUUCCGAAGCAGAAACCGUGAAUCAUCUCUUACUUCAUUGUGUUAAGACGCGGGUCUUGUGGAACCUUCUUUUCUCCCUUUUUGGUGUAUCUUGGACUCUUUCGUGUACAGUGAAGGCAACCCUUCUUGGAUGGAAUGAAGUAUUUGUGGGGAAAAGACGCAAGAGGGCUUGGAAAAUGGCUCCUUUAUGUAUAUUUUGGUCAAUCUGGAAGGAGAGAAAUAGACUAGCUUUUGGGAAUGAGGAACUCUCGCUUCAAAGAUUGAAAUAUUCUUUUGUAUGUAAUCUUUGGUCUUGGGUCAGGGUUUCCUUAGUAGAGAGCUCUUCUUCUCUUAUAAGUUUUUUAGACUAGAUAAGCUCCUAGUAAGGGAAGGCGGUGGGUAUAUUCCCUAUAUACUUCAAGAGCACUGGUUUUUUGGUGUUUCCUCUUUUUGAUUAAUAUACUUACUUUUUACUUAUCAAAAAAAAAAAAUACUGAUGGAUCAAAUUUUUUGGUUUCUCGAACGAUAAAACUUAAGUCAGCUCAAUGUAGCAGAGGCUUUAUCAUCCAUAAUCCUCAAUAUAAGUUUGCUUUCAAAAUUGGUUGUUGCUUUUCCUACAACUGCUCAACAAUUUAACUAAUCUUUACUCAGUUUAAUAGUUUGGAGAACCCAACAACCUCUUAGUUUUCAAAUAUUAGUUGGUUACUUUUCCUAUCCUUUCUUAGCAACCAAAAAGAAAAACAAAACAAAAAAAACUUGCAUUACCUUUCCCUCUAUGACUAUAAGGCUGUGAAGAGACGGAACCUCCUGCAUCGGAAACCCCAACGAUUCCCAGGAAUCAACCUGUAGCGCCAACAACGCUGAUUGAGACACCUUCCACGCCGACACGCUUUCACCGGUGGCAAUAACGUCUCGGCGAGCCUUGACAACGGCGCCGUCGACCCUGUCCAAAGCCUCUUUGUUCCGCUUUGGGGGUUGAGGCCUGAACCCCGUGAAAUUAGUGUUUUGGAUUGCAAAACUAGGGUUUUGUAAUGGAAAACUAGUGUUUUGCAUUGGCAAAUUAGGGUUUUGCAAUGGCAAAUUAGUGUUUUGCAUUGGCAAAGUAGGGUUUUGCGUUGGCAAAGUAGGGUUUUGGAGGUAUGGGAGGCCGAGGUUGGCCUGGAAAGUAGGAUUUUGGAAGUAGGGAUUUACGUUCUGGAUGAAAUAAUUAGGAGUCGGAGGUAGUGCUUGCAGUGGCGGCACUGCCCCACCACGACCGCUGCCACCGCCGGCGGCGGUAGGGCGGUGGCCAGGAGGGUUGUGUCCGUACAUGGCGAAAUCAGUUGAAGAGAAAGGAAAACAUUUAGCGGGGUGUUUUGAAUAUAUAUAUUCACUGGAAUCUCGCCACGUCAGCAAAAAGAAAAGUUGCUAUGUUGAGCCAAUUUUACUUCUUUUUUUUCUUACUAAUUUCUUUUAUUAAAUAACAUUGAUUAAAAACUAUUCAAAUUUUGAAAUUAUUUAAAUUAUGAAUUUUUUUUUAUAUUCUUCUAUACAUUUUUCAUUAGUAUUAGUCUAUUUAAAUAUAUGAGUUAUGUUUCAUUUGAAAAGUGUUAAGAAAGGAAAAAUAAUAAUUAAAAUAACUUGCUUUUUCAUAUUUGAUUUCAUCGUGAAAAAUAUUAAAAAUAAUCAAAUAUAAUUAAUUAAAAUCUAUAUAUUUUUUAAUUAUAUAAAUUUUACAUUGAGGAUGAUAAAUAAAUAAAAUAAAUUUAAAAUAUUAUAUAUAAAUAAUUUAUUAAUUUGAAAUUUAAUAAAUAAACAAAUGCUUUUAAGGUUUACCCAAUUAAUGUAAAACAUAAUAUUAGUCCAUUAUUAACUAAUAACUUAAGUCUUUAAGUCAAAACCCGAUAUCAUUUUAUUAGCUUUUUGUCUUCACAAUAUAUAUAAAGAGAGAGUCAGUUUGGAAAUUGUUUUUAAAAGUUUUUUUUUCUAAAACUAUAAAAUUAUUUUCCAUAUUCAAAAAUAGGUUUAAUAAUUUUUUUUAAUAAAAAACAAUGUUUUUGAGAACUUUUUUUGAAAAUAGUGCAUUUUUUAUAAUAUAUUUAAAUUAUUUUAAGUUAAUUUCACUUGUGUUUUUUGAAAUUGUUUUAAAAUUUAAUUAUAUAAAUAUGGAGAAUGAUUAAAAUAAAACAAUAAAAUAUUUGAAAACAUGAAAAAUAACUGAGAAUAUUUUAAGUUUGUAAAUAGACUUUUACUUUAUAAAACAUAAAAAAUUGUUUUUGAAAGCUAUUUUUUGAGAAAUGUUUAUUAAAACCAUUCUUGUACAAGCCUUGUAUCUUUGCGUAGAUUUUCAAGACUAAGAAUGAUGCAAUCAAUUUGGAGUAGCCUUAAACCUAAAUUGAUGAAGAGAUAUUGAGAAAACCCACCUUAGGAUGAGUGAUUAAGGUUAUGUCCCUAGGAAAGUUAUUUGGAUGUUGUUUAAGUCAUUGUGACUAAACUAUUGAAUCCUUAUGAUUUAAUUAUCUUAAUAACACAUAUAGUUCCUUUAGGUUCCACAUAAGUUACCCAUUUAAUUACUUGUCUAAGAUAUAAUUUUCGCAAUAAGAUUUUACAGUCUGUCUUAAGUGGAGUGUUGUGAUGUGUUCAAAAAUAUAAGACGUAUAUACAAAUAAGUCACCAUGAUUUUUUACAUGAAAAAUCUCUUUGCUAGGUGAAGCUAGUCUUCUUCGCAAUAAAAUAUUCCACUAUAAUCAAUCAAAAUUACAACGUUAUUACCUUGUAAGUUCUUUGAUCCUCCACAAUCAAUUAUAUUGUAUAUAACCUCUUUUUAUAACUCUUUCUUAAUCUCCCUCUACUUUAGAAUUGAACUAAAUUGAUCCAUCGUAAAGCAUAAGCUCUUAUCGAAGUGAUCUUUAAAGUUAUUUUGAAGGUUGAAUUGUUUCACAUAUAUAACCCUCCGAAAACUAUCAUUUUGUUGAUAAUUCACUUUGUGGGUUUGUAUUUUUUUUUUUUUUGUGCAUCCAUGCUAUGGUAAACCAUUUUUGGAUUUAUUAUUUAUUUAAAAAUUGAUUUUUUUUAUUCAUUUGAAGGCGACUUCUUUUAAUUAUUUUUUUUAAAUAAAAACAUAAUAAAAAAAUAAAAUUUAAGUAGAUGAAAUCACAAGGAUCCCAAGUGAAGAGAAGUAGGGAAUGAAUGCUCAAUACCUUUUACCGAAGAGAAGGUAACAGUCAGCUAGGUUCACCCAAUAGGGAAAAAGAAAGGGACAAGUCAAUGCAGACUAGGUCUGCAUGUUGAGCACUCUUAUAAUCACCAAAUUCCCACUGCAAUUGAUGAUUUCUCUUCUACUUGAUGAGAACACACUAACUCCUUUAAUAUAUAUAUAAAAUAGAAGGUAAAGUCUACAUAUCAAACAUAGGUUUGAGAACUAGGCUACUUAGUGGAAGAGUGUUAGACCAUUAAACCCGAAGCACUCUUAACAAUUUAUCAAUUAAUUGAUAAGCACAAAUAUGAAAAAGAAAGUAAUGAAAUGCAUACAGUGGGUCACAAAUGAAAAGAGAAGUAUAGGAAUUGCAUGACUUGAAUUAUAUAAAGGGGAUCAAUCUAAGUAAUGCCAGUUGUUCUCAUACCAUGCUCAUUACACAAGGCAUAUUCAAGGAUUUGAAUUUAUGAAAUCUCACAUUUCUAAAGACAAAUCAAGGUCCAUAAAUCUCAAAAUUUGGUUUCGUACAACCAAUGAACUAAUAUCCAAUUCUUGAAGCUUUAUUAAAUCUACACAACAAUCAAAGCUAGAAUAUCGGUGCAUCUCCUUAUUUUCUCAUCCAUUACUUUUCUCAAUAAAUGAAGGUUAUAUUUGGUUUCAGAAAAGUACUAAAUAAAACAAAAAGAAAAAGGAAAAGUUAAGAAAAAUGAUUUUCUCAUAUUCAAUUUUAUUAUGAAAAUUUCUAUAAAAAAAGUCAAAUAUAAUUAGAAUUAUUAAAAAAAAUUACAUAUUUUUAAAUUAUUUAAUUUUGAUAUAAAAUGGUUAAAUAAUAAAAAGAUUUAAAAUAAUUUAUAAACUUUAAAUUUAUUUUUUUUAUUUUUUUUCUAUUAUCUUUAUCUCACAUUUUUCUUUAAAAUUUUCGAUAACCAAACGAGAUAAACACUCUCAACAACGGAGUUUCUCUCUCCAAUGCCCAAGAAAUUCCUCAUAGUUUCCCCUCUCCACCCUAAAGAAGUGUCUCUCCCCUCUCGACUCUAUCAAAUGAAAACUAUAGUUCUUUUUAUAGGCAAAAUGCCCAGCUUCAUCUCUAAUUCGACUCCUCAAAGCACUUGUGCAUUCUAUUUGGGACCCCCAAGGCAUCUUUAUGCACCUCAUGUUAUUUGUUACAUGUUCACACAACUCUGAAUUGGUCCAACACCUUAACCAAGUCCUCUACCAGAUCAUCUCACUUUCCUACAGUUUAGGAACAUGUUCCACAAACUGUUGAUAAUGGUGGCAAAUGGCAAACGACGUGGUUUGAUGGGAACCCACAACUCGCUAUAUUUGGUUUUUGGCCCUGAACUCAUCUCUCUAUUGUUAUGUUCAUCAGUGAUACACCAUCUAACGAGAGAGAUCAGAGUUUGGAAAAUAAAAAAUCUGCAGCAACUAGUCAGUAUUGAAUUCAGAAACAGUGGUUGGAGGUAAGUAACUGAUCUUAGAUCUUUUCAGAUUUGCUAGUAUGACAAAAGUUUCAUAUACUUUGGAUUGAAUGUAUUAUUACAUUUGGUAUCAAAACCAUAUGAAUCUUACUUCUACUUUGGUAUUGAUUUUUUGCAUGAGAAACCUUGUUAUAUUUUCUGAUCUAUUAAAUCACUGCAUAAAAUGAAAUACCUUGCUUGCUGCCGGGAACGUAAAAAAAAAAAAAAAAAAAAAAACCCACUUGCAAAAUGCGCUUUCUUCAAUGACUAGAAAGUAACAAAUAAGGGAUGGCCAAACCUCCACUUGGAUCCACCACUUAAAGCCCAAAGUAGGAGUCCAGGAUAUACAAAUCUCCUAUUUUCUUGUUAAAUCGCAGUCUUAGCAACCUUCCACAUAUAUGUUCCAUCUCCGAAGCAAACAACCUCACACACUCAUUCCUUUCAGAAGUGGUGAUAGCAAAAUCAAUCUAUUUGCGACCAUCUCCUUUCCAUUAAGAACUCGGUUGUCGCCAACGCCGAUAUAGGGGCCUUCUCAUUUGGGGUCGAAAGCGAUACUCUCCAAUUCGAAGGCUCCGGUGACUUGGAUUACUUCUGAGGCGUGGAAGGGCUCGCGAGCGGACUCCUAGUGGAGCAAGCGUUGAGGCGGGGAUGGAGAAGUCGGGGUUGCACUCAGCCGAAACCACCUCGUCCCAUUUGUGGUGAUCGUUGACGCUGUCACGACCAACCAUGUUGAUCUGGCCUGUGAGAAUAUAGGUUGUUCCUGUUGGUGAUGCAGGUGGCUGAAGGGCACCUGUGAGGUUUUUCCUGCCCGUGUGAUGCAGGCGGCUCCAAGGUUUGGACUGUUGUCGGUGUUGGAAGGUUGUCGCGCUGAGUUUUGGUGUGGUGUAGCCGGUGAUGGAGCAGUUCACGCGAGUGGCGAAAAAAUAGGAUCAUAGGUUUGGUGCAGGUGAUAUUAAGAUGUUGAACUUAGAGAGAGAUUGGGUUUCCCUUGAAGCCCACUAAAGUUUUGGGCCAUGAGAAAAAUGAAAAAUUGGGUCAUGGAUAAAUGUGAAAGUUGGGCCAGUUUAGGCCCUUAUGGGCCGGUUUGAAAUAUUUUGUUGGGCUUGGAAUUGAUUGUUUUUUAUAUGGACUUGGGCACCCAAUCAAAAUCUGAAAUCUCUUUUACUUAAAAAAAAAUUAAUUAAUUAAAUUAUUUUGUGAUUUUUAUACAUGCAAAUUAAAUUAUUUUAUGCUAAUUUGUAUGUAGUAUGUGUAAAUUUGUUGCUUUAAUUGCAUGAAAUGUAGCCUAAAUUUGUGUUAGAUAAAUUAAAGUUAUGACAUAUAGUUUUAAUGUCUAGUGAACCAUAUAAUUUUAAAUAAUUAAAGAAUAGCCACAACAUCUUUAAUUAUGUAAAAUUAUAUAUGAAGUGGAUAAAGAUCACAUAAUAGACAUUAAUUGUAAUUAAUUAUAUAAAUAUAAUGAUUUUACCCCAUAGGGAUUUCAUUAUGUUUAUAUAAUUAAUUAGGAUAAAAUGUUAAAAUUGGUUUUUCCUAAUUUACCCACAAGAGUUAGGAAAAAUUAAUUUAAUGGUUUAUUAUAAAGCUUAAAAAUAGAAGAUAUCAAACUAUAUUCAUAAUAAAUAUUAUAAAUUUAGUACAAUGGUUUGAUAAAAUCUAUCAUAGAGAUAAUGAAUAUGAUUGAAUUAAAGAUUUAGCCCACAUGCAAUUUUUAAUAAAAUUAGAUUCAUUUUUAAGUGUGUUUUACAUUGGUAAAUCAUGAAUUUAUUUAAAGCCUCAAUUAUUAAUAAGCUUGUAAUCUUUUUGUGCAGUUAUACUUCACAUUUUUGAUAGUCGUUGUGAGGUUCUCAAACUUAGGAGAGAUAACUUUAAGUUAUGGAAUGAGAGAGUUCUUCUUCAAUUAGGGUGCAUGGACAUAGACUAUGUCAUAAGGAAACAUGAACCACCUAAGAUCACUGAUACCAGCACACCUGAUCAAAUUCUAUUGUACGAACGCUGGGAGAAAUCUAAUCGCCUCAGCGUGAUGUAUAUUAAGAUAAAUAUUAGUGUUGGUAUACGUGGUUCAAUCGAGCAGCAUGAGAAUGUCCGCGAAUUGCUAAAGGCUAUUGACGAACAAUUCGUCACUUUAGAUAAAGCCUUGGCGAGCACCCUAAUUAUGAAGUUCACAUCCCUGAAGCUCACUGGUAUAAGAGGUGUACGCGAACACAUCAUGGAAAUGAGGGACAUAGUGGCUCAAUUGAAAAAACUCGAGGUAGAAAUGUCUGAAUCCUUCUUGCACUUUAUCCUUAACACUCUUCCGCCUCAGUAUGGACCUUUUAAAAUCUCUAACAACACACACUUAUCCUCAAUGAAUUGAUGACCAUGUGUGUUUAAGAGGAAAAAAGGUUAAUGAUGGAGAAAGGAGAAAGUGCCAUGCUGGUGACACAAAAGAAAUGAAAGAAAGGAAAAUCUCAAGCCAGUCAGAAAGGGAAGCAACAAAUUCCUAAAAAAUCUAACAUUAAGAUAGACGAAAAGUGUUUCUUCUGUAAAAAGAAAUGACACGUGAAGAAGAAAUGUUUGAAAUUCUAGAAAUGGCUUGAGAAGAAAGGUAACUCUACCUCAUUUGUUUUUUGUGAAUCUAAUAUGGUUAAUGUAAAUACCAACACAUGGUAGAUUGAUUAUGGAUCUAUAAUCCACAUUUCAAAUUCCUUGCAGGGUAUGCAAAACCUAAGGAAGCUAGUGAACAGUGAGCAAUUCAUCUUAUCCAGAAACAAGAUGGGCUCGCAUGUGGAAGUAAUAGGGACAUGUUAUUUAACUUCAAAUGGUGGUUUUGUUUUGGAAUUGCAAGGACCUUUUAUGUACCAAGUUUCUCACAAAACUUGAUUUUAGUUUCUAGACUUGUACCGUUUGGAUAUUCCUUUCAUUUUUCAGAAACAUCUUUCAGUUUGACUUUAAUUAUAAAUCUGAUUGUGUUGGGAAUGGUAUUUUGUUUGAUGGUCUUUAUCGUAUAUUUUUAUAAAAUGAUAUCACUUAUAAUUCAUUACAUGUCCAAACUAGCAUUAAAAGAUGUGUUGUAAAUGAAGAUUUCUCUAUAUUAUGACAUUGGAAAUUAGGUCAUAUCUCCAUAGAUAGAAUCAAAAGAUUGAUAAAUGAUGGGGUACUUAGUACUCUAGAUUUUACCAACUUUGAGACUUGUGUGGACUGCAUUAAGGGAAAACAGACCAACAAGUCAAAGAGAGGUGUUACUAGGAGUUCCACCAUAUUAGAGAUCAUACAUACUGAUAUAUGUAGUCUUUACAUGGACACUCAUGGUCAGAAAUACUUCAUCUCUUUCAUAAAUGAUUUAUCACGAUACAUGUAUCUCUACAUACUUCACAACAAAAAUGAAGCAUUAGAUGCCUUUAAGGUUUUCAAGGCAAAAGUAGAGAAACAAUAUGGUAAACAAAUUAAGAUCAUGAAAUCAAAUAGAGGUGGAAAAUAUUAUGGUAGAUACUUGGAAGAUGGACAAACACCUGGGCCAUUUACGAAGUUUCUUCAAGAGCAUGGGAUUGUUGCCCAAUACACCAUGCCUGGUUUUCCAAACCGAAAUGGUGUAGCAGAAAAAAGAAACCGAACUUUAAUGGAUAUGGUGAGGAGUAUGUUGAGCAGCUCAAAACUUCCUAAAUUCUUGUGGACUGAAGCACUUAAGAUGACAGUGUAUAUAUUAAACCAAGUUCCAACCAAGGCUGUCCCAAAGACGCCAUUUGAGUUAUGGAAAGUGAGAAAAUAAAGGUUAUGCUUAAUUAAGAAAAACACCCAAAAGAGGGGGGGGGGGGGUGGAUUAGGUUUUUUAAAUUCUUUUCAAUCACAAUAUAAACAAAAUAAAGAGAUAGAGUUAGAAAAUUCAAAUUCGGCUUUUAUAGUGGUUCAACACUUCCUUGCCUACGUCCACUCUCCUCAAUCUCCUAACCGAGUGAGGGUUCUACUAACUUGAAGCUUCAACCAAGCUUCCAAUCUUCUUACACUUGGAUUCCGACUCCAAUGGGCUCUUACACAAUCUCUUCAAGAUUCAAACCUCUUCAUUAAAUCCUUAAAAAUAUGGUAUUGGUAACUUAAGGAGUCUUUGAAUCCUUUAGAAUGGUUUGAGUACUUGAAACUAACCUAAUGAUUUAAAUUUAUUACUAGCUAGUACCACAUUCAAAGACUCCUUUGGAAUGUUAAGUUCGAGUUCUUAAUAGCUACUAAUCCCUUAAUAAUGACUAUAACAAAAGUGAAGGGAAGUACGUCGAAGCCUACCCCCACUCCCCACCCCCUUGGAUUUUUUAUUUUUAUAUAAGCAAUACUUAAAAAAAAAAUAAAAAAUGGACCCCCAAAGUCCCAUAGUUGUCAAUCGCCCCUCAACCUUAAAUCCUAACUCCGUUAUUACUUAGAGCUUUACACCUUCAAGAACAAUAAUUUCUUGAAUUUAGAAUGAGUCUUAUUAUUAAAGAAUUCACAAUUUAAAAUUUCCCCAUGAAGAAACUUCAAAAUUAAACUCAAUUUUGUGUUAGAUUUGUAUCAAAGAAUUCUCGAAGGCAAGAAUUCUUUCACAUGAUUAGAGCAAUCCUUUUUAUAUUCGACAAUGUUAAGGGUUCAAUAGACAACAUUUCCUAAUUGUUUUCCAUCUUAACUUAAAAUUUAUUGAAAACUUUAAGUUAAAAAGACAAAUCCACGCAAAAACUUCUUUCAUCAUAUUUAUAAAAAAUGACUAAAAGAAAUAUAAGAAUCUUUCCACAAUAGUGAUUUGAUGUAAUAGGAAAACAUCCAAAAUCGAGAUCAUCACCAAUAUGAUUGUGGUCUCUGGACAACCAUUGUUCUAGCCACCAAGCCAAUGCCAAACAACCCUCAUUCCAUAACUAAAUUAAACCUAAUAACUAAGCUAUAACAGCCCAAAAACCUAACUUUCCAUCAUUUAAAAAAUAGAACCAAACUAACUUGAAAAUUGAUGCUAAACCAAAUUAAAAUGGAUACCAAACCAGCCUAAGAACUUAUGCUAAAUCAACCUAAUUUGAGUGUGUGGUAAAUUCUAAAAAGACUAAAUUUAUUCUUUUAUAAAUAGAUUUCAGCUUAAUGACUUUCAACUUUGCAACCAUACUAAUUGUUUUUUCUUUUAGAUAUUAGUGUAAAUAAAAGGAAGGAUUUUUCAUUACCUUCAUAUAUGUCUAAAAAAAUUCAAUAUGAUUGUUUUACUAGUAAGUUUUAUGCCCCAAAAUGUGAAUGAAAUUUCGAAUAUGACAACCACUCAAAGUUUCAUAGCCUAAGAUUUUUUUUACCUUCAUCUUCACAAAGAAAACCAAAAGAAAAAAACUUUUAAAGAAGUGCUUAAGGAGAAAACCCUAUUAUGUUGUUUUUUUUUUAUUUAAAAAAAAUGAUAUCUUCUUUUUAUUUCUUUCAUUUUUUUUCAAUGGUAGUAUGGAUAGUUAAAAAAACUCUCAGAAGUUGCUUCCUCUAUUUUUUAAGAUAUUGGAUCGGGUUAUGUUAGCCCACUUGAGUCCAAACCCAUGUCGAACAAUUACAUGCAACUCCUUUGACUAGGGACUGUGGAAAUAAAAAUUCUCUUUUAAUUGCAUUUUUUUAAAAGCAUAAAGUUAAACAAUAAAAUUUAAAAAGAGUGCAACAUGAGGGAUUCUUCAAACUUACAUAGUUUUGAUGGGAUAUAUAUUUUAAAUAAUUAAUUUUUUUUAGAAAGAAAAAAAUAAAACAAUAAAAUUUCAAAAAGGAUGCAAAAUGAGGGAAUUUUGAAACUUGGGAUAAUUUUAAUGUUAUGACUUAUAAUUUUGCCUAUGACUUGUAAUGUUAUGCAUUUUUAUGUACUUUUAAUCCAUAGGUUUUCUACUAACAAGUAAAUCAAAAAGAAAAAUAAGACAAUGUUUCCAUGUUCAAGUCUAUGGUUUACUUUGGAUGGAUUCUUAGAGUGUGUUUGAUAAUGAUUUUUAAAAAUAAAAUAACACAUGUCCACAGUCGAAUUUAGAUGGAUUCUUAAUCAACUUAAAAAUUGAAUCAAAUUAAUCAAUAUAGAUUAAGUCAAAACUGAUUGAAUCGUUUUAGUUAUUAAACAAAAUUGAUCCAAUUUACUAUCAAUUGGUAUUGGUUUAGUUCAUUUAGAUGAGCAAAAUUGGAUUUCAUAUUACAAUAUUGAAACAAAGAUAUCAGAAUAUCAAAAUAUUGAAACAAAGUGAAACAGAGAUUCAAAUAUUGAAACAUAAUUUUGAAAACAGAGAUGAUAUGCUGAACAACUAAUAGUUGCAACAACCCUAAAUAUUUAGGUAACUAUGAAAGAUCAAUUAGGUCAAUUCUAAAUUGUCACUUCCUAUGAUAAUAAUAUCAUCCACAUAGACUAGGGCCCGCAAUGGCAUAAGAUUUGGUUGUAAAUCGGAUAAAAGCUUUAGAGGAUGUAAAACCAAGUUGAAGCAAGGAAGACAUAAACCUUUUAAACUAAGCUAGAGGGGCUUGUUUCAAGCCAUAUAAUGCUUAAAGUAGCUUGCACACUUGUUGUUUGUUUUGUUUUAAACUAGGUGAUUGCUGCAUAAACAUGUCUUCUUGCAAAACCUUGUUGAGAAAUGCAUUAUUAACAUCAAGGUGUCUAAUCUCCCAUUUUCUUGCUAAAGAAAAUAUAAGAGCAAUUUUAAUUGUAAUUGAUUUCACCACUAGGCUAAAGGUUUCAGCAAAAACAGAGUCAACUUGUUGAUGAAUUAGCCACUAAACAGAGCUUUGUAUUUAGAAAUUGAACCAUUAGGAUUUCUUUUGAUUUUGAAGACCCACUUGUAGCCAAUAACUUUCCUAUUAGGAGGUAAAUCUACAAGGGACCAAGUUUUAUUUUAAAGCAAGACAUCCUAUUCAUCUAACAUAGUAGUAUUCCAAUGAUUACAACUUAAGGUCUCAUUAAUAGAAAUGGUUUCACUUGUAGAUAGAUUAGUUGUAAUAUAGACUUCCGACUUAAAAAUCCCUCUUUUAGUAAGGAUGAAAAUAUCAGUUUUUACGGAUAUAUCGGUCAUUUGAUUUUAUGAACAUAUCGACGUAUAUCAGGAAAUAUCGAUAAAAUUUUUUGUACAAAAUAUCAAUGAUGUAAAAAUUGAUGAAAACUUAUGAAAAUAUUGGGAAAAGUAUAAAAAACGAUAUAAGAAAUAAUGAUAGGCAUAUUGGGGUUGUUUUGUUGAAAAAGUUAAUAUAUGUAUAAUAUAAUUUAUAAUAUUAAGCAAUAAUGUUUAAAACAUAUUUUAUAUACAUCUAAUCUAAUUUGGAUGUAUUUAAUGAGAUAGAAGAAAUGAUGUUACAUACAUAAGUAUUUUUUAUUAAAAUAUUGAUAAUUUUAUUUAUUAAUUUAUAUUUAUUUUGUAUUUUAUUAUUAUGUAAAUGACAUGAUAAUUAAAAUUUAUUUAUUUAUAAUAAUUGGAUUCUAAUUAAUUUAUGAUAUCUAUAUACACAAAUAUAUAUAUAUCAAUGUUUAAAUAUAUAUUAUAUUAUAAAAAUUAUAUAUUGCAUUCUUAAAUAUAAAUAUAUAUAAAAUAUCUCAUUUAUAAAUAUAUAUAUAUAUAUAUAUAUAUAUUUAUAAAUGAGAUAUUUUGUAAUAAUGCUCCACUACCUACUAACAUACAUCCUACGGUUACUCAUUCUAAAAGACAUGGUCCAAAAUGUUUGGGCCUAGUUCUUAGCCCAUUAUUUAAUAAUAAUAAUAUAUAUUAUUAAAUGAGAUAUUUAUAUUUAAGAAUGCAAUAUAUAAUGUUUAUAAUAUAAUAUAUAUUUAAACAUAGGUCCAUUAACCAUCAAUCUAAAAGUUGGUUGGGUGGCACUUUAAAAGUUGAAAUGCAAUUACAUAUCAUAAUAUAAUAACACCCAAAAUGUGUAUUUAAACUGAGAGUAACUCUCUUGUGCCAACCACAUCAAACUACACUAGGCUAGAUGUGGAGUGGGCAUAAUGGGCUAAGAACUAGGCCUAAACAUUUUGAACCAUGUCUUUUAGAAUGAGUAACCGUAGGAUGUAAGUUAGUAGGUAGUGGAGCAUUAUUACAAACUUGAAUAGAAUCAAACACAACAUGUGUAGGGUUUAAUGAUCCAUAUCUUUUAGAAUGAGUAACCAUAGGAUGUAAGUUAGUAGGGUAGUGGAGCAUUACUACAAACUAAAAUAGGCUUAGACAGAACAUGUUUGGGGUUUAAUGAAGAAUCAAGUUCCAAAGUUAAUACAGGUGAAAGGGAAGUAACAAGUGUUGUAGUAGGAGAUUCAAUAGGAUGGUGGAUAGGUUGGUGACUAGAUGAAAUCGGUACAAAUGAAAGGGAAACAAUAUAUAGGUGUUGUAGGAGAUUCAACAGGAUGGUGGGUAGGUUGGUGACUAGAUGAAAUUGGUAUAGGUAAAAGGGAAGCAAUAGGUGUUGGAAUGGGAGAUUCAAUAGGAUGGUGGAUACAGGUAACUAGAUGAAACUAAAGGUUGGGGUAUAGAGGAUGGGAGGGGAUGCAUUGUGUUGUCAAUGGUAGAUGAGGAAAAGUUUGGGUAGUUGGUUUUGAAGCAAAAAUAAAUGUAAAUUCAUCAAAUACAACAUGUCUUGAGAUGUAAAUUAUACCAUUAUGAGUUAAGAAAUGUGCAAGGAAAAUAAUGAUAUUGUAAUUUAUGAUUAUUGUAAGGUCUUAAGUGAGGAUAACAAGUACAACCAAACACCUUAAAGAAGUUAUAGUAAGGUUGAAUGUGAAACAAUACUUCGAACGGUGAUUUCUACUGCAAAAUUGUGUUAGGCAAUCUAUUAAUAAGAAAUACAACAAUGACAAAAGACUUAGACUAAAAAUUUUAAAGGUAAGGAGGCUUGAGCAAGAGUGUAAGUCCCAAUUCAACUAUGUGACGAUGUUUACGUUCAACUAGACCAUUUUGCUUAGAGGUACAGGGACAAGAAUGCCCAUGAAUGAUACCACAAGAGUUAAGGAAAAGGGUGAGACCUCUAAACUCAUCUCCUAUGUUGGUGUGUAAGAUUUUGAUUUUCUGAUGUAGUUGUAGUUCAUCAACUCAAGUCUUAAAAUGAAGGAAAGAUUGGUAUACAUCAUAUUUGCACCUAAGGAAACAUAUAUAUGUGUAUCGAGAGUAAACAUCAACAAAUGACACAUAAUAUUGAAAACAUUCAAAGAAAGAAUAGGAGCUAAACCCCUCACAUUAGCAACAAGUAAUUGAAGAGAUGUAGUGCAUUUGGUGCAAGAUUUAAGAAAAUAGAGUUUAUAACUUUUUCUAUUUGGCAAGCUGAACAAAUUAAAGGAAUUUUAUUGAAAUAAUGUAGUAUAUUGUAAAAAGUUAGCACUUGUUGUACUACUUUUUGAGUAGGAUGUCCAAGCCUUUUGUUCCACAAAUGAAUCAUAGAGUUAUUAAAUUUAGGGGAAAUUGAAUUUAGAUCUAGGCUUAAGAUCCUAGACUUUAUUGAAUAAUCGAUUUCAAAAUGUUGAAGAUGAAUGACAUUAAGUUGACUUGAAAAGGAAGAAGAAACUUUAGCACCACUAUGAUGAGUUGUGAGAUUGAAUCUAUACAAUGCAAAUUUCAUUUGGGAAGUGUUGAUCCCAUCACUUCAUCAUUCACAACAUAAAACAAGAGGUAAAAUUUGAAGAAAACAUGAUUAUCUUUAGCAAAUUAUGAGACACUAAGGAGGUUUUUGGUGAUUGAAGGAACAUGUAAAAUUUUUUUUAAGAUGAAAUUGAUUAGAAGAAAAUGUUGAAAGAGAAACUAUAGAAUGAUCGAUAUAUUUAAUAUGUAAACCUACUCUAUUCCUUACAUGUAACUUGUUCUUACCAUGGUACUCAUUCCAAAGUUCAAAUUAUUUAGGUCAUUUGUAAUGUGAUUCAUUGCGCCUAAAUCAAGAUACUGGUUGUCAUCAUUUACAAUAUUAAGAGUAGCAACUAUUACUGUCAUUGAGGAUGAUCCAGAAGCAUGAUUAUUAUUUAGUCCUGUAAGUGAGUUGUUGAGACGAUGGUAGUAUUUGUGUAUACUAUGUCGAGACUUUAUGCAUAGUUAUCAUUAUGGUUUCUAAUUCCCCUAGAUGGGUCCUCUACACAAAUAUUGUCAUAAUCUCGAUUGCAACCACAAUUGAUUUGAAAAUAUUUGUUUCCUCCUUGACCUCCUUGGAAGUGUUAAUUGUUUCCUUGACCACUAUGUGUAGAUAGAUUUAUAGAUGGCUAAGUGUUUGUGAAAGAGGUUGAAUUUUGUUUGGCCCUAUGCUCUUGAGCAUGUAAUAAGGAUGAAACAACUUUCAAGGAAUAUGAAUCUUCAUAGAAAGUAAUCACAACAACAACAAAAUUGUAUUAUAGACCAAGACCAGUUAAAAUUGUCAAAAUUUGAUCUUCCUUGGAAAUAUCAUGUUUGGAUGAUGCUAAUAUGUUUGAAUAGGUUUCCAUUUUAAUAAUGUAAUCUCUUAUUGAUAAACUACCUUUCUUUCGAUUCUACAACUUAAAUUUGUAUUGCAUUACCUUUGCCUUUAAUUGAAAAGAAAAAAUUUGUUCUACUAUUUUCCAAACUUCUCUAGCAGUGUCACAUCCAAUGAGUUGAGACAACAUUUUAGGGCUCAUUGAGGCUAAUAGCCAAGAAACAAGAAAAUUUUCUUGUUUUUCGAAAAUAGUAUACGUAGGAUUGAUUACUUUGGUUUCACAUUCCUCAAGAAAUUCUAAAAAGGGACCUGAUUCUAAAAUAAAAUUUGCUAGUCUAUAACCUUUGAUUGUACAAGAACUUGAUGUUUUCGAGAAAGAGAUAAUUUGUAUCAUCCAAUUUCACAGUAACAAGUUGACUAAGAGGAUUGGCUAUUUGAAUAGCAAUUCAAGGUAGCUUUGUUACUUCAAAUGAAGUGACAACGUUUGUGGAAAAGACUUUUGCCAUGACUAGGCUUCAAAGCUUUGACACCAUAUUAUAUUAUUAAAACAAAGAUAUCAGAAUAUCAUAAUAUCGAAACAGAUUGAAACAAAGAUUAUAUUCUAACAACUAACUAUUGCAAUGACACUAAAUACUAAGAAACUACAGAUAUUUCUAACAACUAGCAACUGAGUGGUUAUCUCCAAUAUUUCAUAAAUAUUUUUCAAUAAGGAAAUGACAAUCCAAAAAACCUAUUCUAUUUAUAAAGAUGAGUAAACACAAAUAGUAUAAUACAAUCUAAAAUUAUGGUAAUUGAAUAUAAAUAUGUGAUAAUUAGAAUAUUUUUAUUCAUAGUUGAAAAAAAUAUUUUUAUCAUGGUCGAGAAAAAGAGUGAGAAAAGAAAAAGGAAAGUGUUAGUAUUGACUUUAAAGGCAAACUAAAUGCAACAUAUUAUGGUUUGUUUCGCUUCAAAUAAACAAAAUAUUUUGAACACAAAAACCAAAUAAAUAAUUUUUACUUUUCAUCAAAUUUAGUCAAUAAAUUUUGAGAAGUUUGAAAAAUUAGCUCUAUUAUGUAGGACUUUGAGUUAUUUGUCCAUCUGUAUGUAUUUUUGGCUCACUCUAAAUUAAAAAAAUAGAGUUUGUUUGGCCGUGUGAUGUAAUUAUGUUUGUAAAACAUAUAAACUAUUUAAAAAAAAAAAUUAAUAUUGUUUGACAUUUGUUCUCUAAAAAUAUAUAUUUUUAAAACAAAGCGAAAUAGAGAAUAAUUUUUAGGAAAUAAGCAUGAGAUGUUUUCACCAAUUUUUAAAAACAAAAGGAAAAAUGGGCCCAUUUAGCCAUGUGUUUCUAAAACUUGUUUUUAAAAAUGUUUUUUAUUCUUUAAUUUAAAAACAGUUUUGAAAAACAAGUUUAAGAAAACAUGGUCAAACGGGUCCAUAGUUUAAAAAAUAAUAAUUUUUGGUAAUAAUUAAAAAAAAAUAGUUUUGAGAAUAUUUUUAUAAAUAAAGUUUUUGAUGUUUUCUAAAAUAUAAGUUUUUUGGAACUUCAAAUGUUUUAGGCCUAUUUUUUUAUAUUUUUUAUGAAGUGUUUUAUUUUUGAUAUUUCUAUAAUUACUUUUUUUAAAUAAUCUUUAGAAAAUAAAUAAAAAUAAUUAAAAUAUGUUUUUACCAUAUUUUGAGAACUAGUUCUCAUUUUUUUAUCAAAAAAAUUACUUAAAGUGCUUUUGAGUCUCAAAAAUAUGUUUUUUUUUUAAGAACAAAAACCAUUGCCAAACAGAUGUUUUAGGUUCAUACCUCAACAUCAAAGUUUAUAUAUAUCUAUAUAUAAAUUCAUUGAAUCAUUUUUUUUUUAAUCAUGUGAAUGCAAUUUUUGAAUGAUACACAGUGGGCAGAACUAACUUUGUUUAUUGGCUCAACACUUCUCUUUGAAAAGAAAAAUACUUAAAACAAUAUUAGGUUUAUUUGGUAACUGUUUUUAAAAAUAAUUCUAAAAACUGUUUUUGAGAACAAUUUUUGAAAAUUGUUUUUUUAAUGCUUUUUAAAACAAAAGUCUAUUUGGAACCUAAAAUACUUUUAAUUUAUUUUUAAUAAUUGUAAAUAUAUUUAAAAUGAUUUUUAUAUUUAGAACUUUAUUUUUAAUUAUUAUACAUGUUUAUAUAAUUAUUUUUUAAAACAGCUCUUAAAAAACAAGUAAAAACAAUUAAAAGAUGUUUUAUAAAAACACUAUAUUUUUUGUUCUUUGAGACAAAGAAACAAGUUGAGCUUUUCACACCACUGAAUUUAAAAAAAAAUAGAAUCAAAUUUUGAAUCAACCACCACAUGUUGUCUCCAUUAAAUAACUAAUGACUUUACUACGACUUGUCAAUGUGGAAAAAUUAACAUUCCAAGGAAGACUUAUAUAUUAUUUGGUUAGUACCCCUUUGUUUGAUCAUUUUUUCUAAAAGUUUAAGGAAUUUUUUUUACCAAAAAUAAUUAUAAAAUAUUAUCUGAAAACAUCAUGUUUUUUGUUCUUGAGAAUAGAAAAUAGAAAACAGUUUUUUGGUUGUCGAACUUGUUUUUUAGUUUUUUUGUUCUAAAAAAUAUAAAAUUGCUCUUGGAAACAAUUGUCAAAUAGAAUCUUAGUUUUUGUAAAAGUCAUCAAAUUAUGUCAAAUAAUAAUACUAGUUUCUAUAUAUAUAUAAAGUCAUCAAAUUAUGUCUUUGAUGUGAAUGCAAUUUCUACCCAAUAUCUCAUAGGGCAAACAUCGAUUCCAUGAAUUUAUUAUAAAAUUUAAUGUUAAUAAAUAAUAAUGUUUUUAUCUUUUCGAAAGAGAAGUGUGAACCUAAAGAAACAAGUUCAGCUCUUCACAUCGCACGUGUAUGUGAAUUUCAAAGAAAAUGGAAUCAAAUUUUGAACCAACCACCACAUUAUGUUGAACUAAUGACUUUACUACGGCUUAUUAACGUGGAAAAAUUAACAUUCCAAGGGGCCUCAUUAAUGAACCUAUACGUGUUUAUAUAUAUAUAUAUAUUGGUCAAUGAAUUUCGAGAAGUUUGAAAAAAACAUAUUGUAAUAAAGUAUUAUAACAAUGUAAGAAAACAAAGUUAGAUUACAUUUGAUGCAUUGCCCGAAGCUUCAUUUGAUACUUCCUAAAUAUUUCUUAAAUUUUUUAUCAUACAUUCCUGAUCUUAUGUGAUACAAGUUUUUGGUGUUUUUUUAUAUUAAAAGCCUUUGAACUUCAAAUGUUUCUACAAAAGUCAUCAAAUUAUGUCUUCGAUGUGAGUGCAAUUUCUAGCCAAGAUCUCAUAGGGCAAACAUCCAUUCCAUGAAUUUAAUUAUUAUAAACUUUAAUGUUAAUAAUGUUUUUAUCUUUUCGAAAGAGAAGUGUGAACCCGAAGAAACAAGUUCAGUUCUUCACACCGCACGUGUAUGCGAAUUUCAAAGAAAAUGGAAUCAAAUUUUGAACCAACCACCACAUGCUGUCUCCGUUAAACAACUGAUGAAUUUAGAAGUUGUCAUGGUGGAAAAAACAAUUUUCUUAAAAUUUAAGUUUACAAAAUUUCGGUAAAGCUUCGACUCAUAGUACAAAUAUGCACAAACGAGAUAGAGGUUUUGACAAAGAAAUUGGAUCGAGUAGAGGACAAUACUGCACAUUGCUAAAACACAAAUGGAUCUGUCCACUUCCAACCACGUUGCAGAUCAAGAUCAUGCUACCCAGACCCAGAUAUGGAACCCGGCUGCAGCUCAAUCUGAGAUCAUAGCCAUGGAUUCAAGUGUGUACAGGGCGGCAGCGAAGGGAAAUGUCCAUGUCCUCAAGCAAUUGUCAGAAGAUGAUCUUCAGAUCCAAUUAAGCCCAAAGCAUAAUUCAGUGCUCCAUAUCGCAGCCCAGUUUGAUCAACCAGAAUGUGUGAAUUGGAUCCUUACGUUACCUUCAUCUUCAUCUUUACUGCAACGGCCUAAUCUGAAAGGGGAUACUCCGCUUCACCUUGCAGCAAGGGAAGGGCAUUUGGAGGUCGUGAAAGCUCUUUUAGAGGCUGCAAAAGCACUUCCUAUGGAUAUUGAAAGUGGGGUUGGAGCAGAUAAAGCGUUGGUGAGAAUGAGAAACAAGGGGAAAGAUACAGCCUUGCACGAGGCUGUGCGGUAUCGUCAUUCUGAUGUGGUGAAGCUCUUGAUUAAGGUAGACCCUGAGUUUAUGUAUGGUGAAAACAUCUCUGGUGGGACUCCUCUUUACAUGGCUGCAGAGAGAGGAUUUUCUGAUUUGGUGGAAAUAAUCAUAGAAAAUACCUCUACUUCACCGGCUUACCAUGGCCUCAUGGGUAGAACGGCUUUGCAUGCUGCUGUCAUUCGCAAGGACAAAGGUAGUGUGCUUGGGAUCAAAGAUGGGAGCAAAACAAAAAGGCUUCUCAUUACAUUUUUAGUCUUCUGAAAUUAACUUAUACUUAUCUCUAAUGUUCAUUUAUUUAUUUGAUCAGUAAUGACUAAGAAGAUACUGGAAUGGAAGCCAGCACUAACCAAAGAAGUGGAUGAAAUUGGGUGGUCUCCACUUCACUGUGCUGCAUACCUAGGUUGUAGUCCAACAAUAGUGAGAGAAUUGCUACAGAAAUCAGAUAAGUCAGUACCUUACCUUGGAAUCAAAGACGGCAACAAAACAGCCCUUCAUAUUGCAGCUAACCGUGGGCAUAUGAAGAUAGUAGAGUUGCUGGCAUCACAUUCUCCAGAUUGUUGCGAGCAGGUCGAUGAUAAGGGUAACAAUGUUUUUCACUUUGCCAUGUUGAAGAGACGAUGGUUGGCUACGGGUAAUCUCUUAUAUAAUAGUUGGCUAGGAGUUAGAGGAGUUGUGAAUGAGAAAAAUGGUGAAGGAGACACUCCUUUCCACCUGAUCUCGUCUUACCAAAUUGAUGACCCAACGUUCAUAUGUAACCUUGGAGUGGAUAAGAUGGCUUUCAACAAUCAAAACUUCACGGGUAUGGACAUACUUUCAAGGGCCAAUGACAUUUGUGGAAGAAGGGUACGUAAGCUGGCUUUCUAUUAUCACUUAGUCUAUUUGUUUAUCAUUUUAGUCAAAAUAUAACAACAAUGGAAUCAAUCCACUUCAAAGAUAAUGGGUUGGGAUGAAGACAAGCUGGACAAAAGUACUAAUAGCUAGAAUGAUUUAAGUAAGAAUGUUUGUAAAUUAAUCCAAUUCAACACCUUCCAUCUUCAUAAAGUUCGUGUCCUUUCAUUAUUGUUGAUAUAUAAUAAGGUGUUAAGCGGCUCAAACUAUAGCACAUGCACUAUAUUUGGCUUCAUGAAUGCUUGUUCCUUUGAUAAGGCCACAGGGCUAAAUGUUCCCUUUUUUAUUCUUCCUUUUUUUUUCUUUUCUUUUUUUUGUAAAAGUUGUUUAUACAUUUAUAUAUCACCAACUUGCAGGAUUUUGUCCUACGAAGAUUUUACCGAUUUAAAGAAGCGUAUGUUGGACCUUUGUGGUGGCGGGAGGAAAUAAAGGAAGACGAUGGUAGUAGUGAAGGCAAAGGCAAAGGCAAUGAAGGGGACAAAGGCAUUAAUAUUAAAAACGGAUCUUCUGACUUCUCAAAAGUCAUUCAGAGAAGAGGUGAAAACCAUCUGAUAGUGGCAGCACUCAUAGCAACCGUAACCUUUGCGGCGGGUUUCACCUUGCCUGGUGGCUACAAUGUCAAUGAGGGCACGGCAACUCUAGCAAAGAAAACAGCUUUCAAAGCAUUUGUGGUGAUGGAUACCCUAGCCAUGGUGCUCUCAGUGUCUGCUAUAUUCAUUUUCUUUUUUAUGUCAUGGCAUGUGAAGAAGGCGUCUCUGAACAAACACAUAAUCCCUGGCUUCUUCCUCACCAUGUUGGCAAUGGGGGCAAUGGUGAUGGCCUUCAUGACAGGUUUAUACGCUGUGCUACCUGAAUCCUCAUGGCUUCCAUUAUUCACUUGCAUCAUUUGCUGCUCCUUUUUUCUCUCCCUUUAUUUUGAACUUAAUGUACUUUUGAAAGGGUAUAAAGUGAUGUUUUACUUCAAGAAGAAAUACAAGCUUGGGAAGGCUUCCCAUUGAUUGUAUUUUUGAAUAAUGAUGAAGGCAAUAACGUAUCUAUUUGAGAAAAUUAUGUGAAGAUGUAAUUGAAUGAAAAUUUUAUACAAAAUUUGAUUGGACUUUUUCUUUUUCACUUUAUUUCAGAUAAAUUAAUCUCAUUUUAUUAUUGCAAUGUUUGGUAGGUUAACUAAUUCAUUUUUUAGAUCUAAUUAAGGUGUGUAAUGGUCUGCUCCUAACUAUGUACAUAUUGCCCGUUUUGAAUCCAAAGAGGCCCUCACUACUUUAAAACGUGUAUACAGGGUUAAGAAGAGUUUAUACUAGCAUAAAAAACUUCCUCCCUAUCCAAUGUGGGAUGUCACAAACACCCCAUUCUCCCCCACCAUCCCAUGUAGACACAACGUCCUCAUUAUGUUCCAUGGGAUUGUGGGGCCAAAUAAACAAAUACCCUUUAUGGGACCAAACAAAUGCCCACAUUAGAGUCGAGGAUCGCCCCUGAUACCAUUUGUUGGAGAAUCACAAAUCAUACAAAAUGAUUAUAGAAACUGAUCAUUUAGAUAAUAAAUAUGUCAAAAUCUCAUGCUAAAUCUAUUGGAUAAUAAUGUCGGAAGACAUACUUGAAUCCAUUGAGAUUAUGUACUUGAGUCUUGUUUUUGCACGUUUGAAAUGAGUAUUGCAGCCUCAAAUCACUCAUUGAUGGGAUGUGAAUAAUAAAUAAUUUUUUCUAUCUCCUCGUUUAGACUGGGAAUCAUAACCCUAUUUAUAUCCCUUAUUAUUUUAUUUUAUUUUAUUUAUUAACUCAUCAUUAAUAAAUAAAAUAAAAUUGGUCUCUACACAUUGCAAAACCCAUAUAGUCUAUAUAUAUAAAGAGAUGCUUUAAAGGCUCAUCAUUAACUUAAUUGAUCUACUUAGACCAAAAAAAUAAAAUAGCUUAAUGUACAAUGUGUUAAUAUAUAGGCUCAUAAUUACUAAAAUAUCCAAGAGGGUGCACUCCAUCCCAUCAUCCAUACAAAUCACUGUAUUUUCCACUAACUUUACUUUCAACUUUAUUUUGAAAUUCUUUAAAUUUUCUCAAAAUUUCUUAUUUUCACUUCAUAAAAGACACCAAUACAUACUUAGUGAGAAAUUAAUUAUUGAUGAAGGCCACCAUGUAGCACAUUCGUUAAUUAAUGUUGGUUUUAUUAAUAUUGGACCAAAACCACUUAAAUAAUAAAGGGAUAUUUGGUUAAAAGGGUUCAAAUAUUCUUGAAAUCAGAAAUAUGACUUCGUAAAUCAUUUCUUUUUUAGAGAAAUAGCCUAGCUUAGAUAUUUUUAUCCUUCUUUAUUUCCUUUAAAAAUAUCAUUUCCCUUUCAUCUCUAGCCCCUAUCCCUUCCAUUUUUUUUGAUACCUAGCUUUCGUCCUCUCUCUAAGUUCAUGUUCUCUUUCUUUUUUAGUAAACUCCAAACCCUAAAACAGAGAUCAUUGGAUAAAACAAAUAUUAGAGCCUUCUCCAUUCAAAAGUUGAUUAUAACUCAAACUUAACACUUGGAUAGCUUUAAAGAGCUUAUUGUUGCAUGUUUGAGGCACUCAUACUACUAAUACAUCUUAUUGUCACUAGUAUCUUAGAGAAAUAUUUUUGAUGCAUUUUGUGAGAAUUUUGUAGAUUUUAAGACAUUUUUAACCAUCAAAUCUUUCCUAGGAAAUGACAAAGAAAGAAAGCCCAAUUAAGGUAGAAUAUAGAGAUUGUGCACCUCUUAACUACGCAGAACCUCCAUAGUGCACUUGCUUGAGCACAAUCCUAUUUUGUGCACUUUGAAAGCGCAAGGUAAAUUGUGCAUCCUAGGGGUACCAAUCUGAAUAGCAUACUCAGAGAGGCAUACUUUCUUAACACACCUUUGAGUGAUUGCUUACAUUGCACCUUUAGAAAAGCCAUUUACAUUGUGUAGUUGUGGCACACGAUUUGAGUUGUGCCCCAUGAGUGUGUUCUUUUGGUGCACUUUGAUGACUAAGUGUUUGCCUCUCAAGCACACAUUUCAAGUGCGGUAAAUAAGAUUAUGCACCCUACUUAGGCACCUCUACAUUUAUGCACCCUUUAAGUGUGUUAAACCAGGAAGCACACUUUCUCUACCUCAACCAACAAACUUCCCACAUAGUGUUCCUCUUUAGGACCUUAACACUUCCCUCAUUAAAGACAAAGUGCACUUAUGGCUGCACCAACACCAUUAGGUCUUCAACAUGGGCGUGAGGCAAUUCUAGACAAGGUGUCAUUAGAACAUUUGGACAAAGGGGAUUUUUGCCUAUAAAAGAGGGAUUAUGAAUAUACAAGUAGAAGGAGAUGAUGGAUAGGGAAUAUGUUAGAUAGUUGUGUUAGAAUAGAGCCCUUAAAGGCAUGACGUGAUGUAACAUAUUUGGAAUUUAUUGUUUAUUUAAUGAUAUUCUGGUUUCACUUUUAUUUAUCCUUAUUCCAUGCAUUAUACUUUAUGAACAUUCUUGCUUAACAUAUUUUGGAUUGUACAUGACUUUGGUGUAUUAGGAGUUGCAUGGAAGAUCUAAGUCAUGGGUUCCUUACAAAUAGAUGAUUUGUUAAUAAUCAGUUCAUGAAUAUAAACCAUAUAUUUGAGGUUGUAGUACACUACCUCCCAAUUAGAAGGAUGGUUGGUCUUGACUAUUAAGACAGGGUUCCCAUGGCGAGUACAGUAGUAUGUAUGAUAACACAUUGGACAAAACCUAUGGUGAAUCACGACGUAAGGCUAUUGGGCAGUUAUGACUUCACCAAGCUACUAUACUGUACUAUUUCUCAACCUUAAGAAAAUAUUAUAGUUUGCAGUGGCUUUGACUUACAACUGAUAUCCUAAAGUAAUCAUAUAGAUUGGAUCAUUGUUGAUGGAGACCAGUAGCAUAAAACAUUCUCAAUAAAGGCACCAUGAUAUUUCAUGGACUUUGAGAUAGUAUUGUCUCCUUUUAGGUGAUCUUAAGAGCUUGUAAUCAUGAAAUCUAUGGUGUCAUAGUAAUUCCUUUGAUUCCCUUAAAUGCAUAAGAGCAUUUUAAUAAAUGUGCAAGGUUGCACAAAAGUUAAUGAAUGGUAUCUCUAUAUUGGACUAAUUGAUUAAUCGAAACUUUAUUGGAUUAAUUAAUUAAUUAGAACCCUUUUUGGAUUAGAUUAGGUGAUCAAAGCCCAAGAUGGGUUCAAGUCACUUAAACCCAAUGGAGAACCUGUAAAUAUCCCCUUAGGGGUUAGGGAUUUAGAUUUUUAGCUACUUCUCUCUUAAGUCUAGGGAGAAAACCUUAGCUUAGUUUUUUAGUCACCACCCCAAAGAUUUCCACCAUCUCAAUGUCUUGAUUUAAGGAGUCAUCGAGUAGAAGAUCAGUGGUUUGUGAGACUUCCAAUUAUUAAUGUGGUAUUUUAUUAUGCUCUUCAUUACAAGGAAUUGGUUUGGGAACAUUUAAAUCUUAGGUAUAUAACUUUAACUCUAAAUCUAAAAAAUAGUAUGGUUUCUAUUGCCAUAUUAUUCAGCUAUAAUAUAUCUAGAGAGUCUAGGAUGAGAUUGCAUGUAUCCUACGAGAUUUAGGACUAGUGAACAGAGUAAUCUGGUUUUCGCUAUAAGUCAUUCUUAGGAGUAGAAGUAAUUUAGUUUUGGUUGUAAUCUUGCAUUUAUUUUUUAUUUUCUUUUGUAAUCUUUCCUAGUUUUUAUGUUUAAUGAACUUUCAACCCUUUAAUUUCAGUAUUCUAAUUUCAACUUGCAAAUUAACAUUUCCAAUUCUUUACUAGUUUCAACAUGUGUAGGUAGUCUUUACACUCCAAGGGGUGAGAAGAGCUAAGGUUUCCCAUUUCCCAAAUUUGCUCACCAAUGAUUUGAUUAUGCAUAAUUUAAAAGAAUAUACCUUUCAUCAGUGGUUGAAUGACCAAAAGAAGUAACCAUGAGAAUAAUGUUGUAUUGGUUGUGAGGGUUGCAAGUCAAGCAACCCUACUUAAUUGAAAUUAUUAAUUGAUUUAAAAAAAAAAAACCUAUAAGCAUUGUGAAUUCAUAUUGCUACUUUAUUUGACUUCUAAAGUUGGUUUAUAACAUUGAAGAUGCUAAGAAUACAAUAUGAUAACCCACAAAUGUCAGUUUCGUUAAAAAAAAAAAAAUCCAAUAUUUUGCAAAUUGGAUAUGUCAAAAUAUACCAUAAUGUUAAUAUACUUGUAUUAUAAUUAUAAUGCAUUUGUAUCUUACCUAUAUUUUAUAACAAAAGUAACAGUUUUACAGAAACAUUUAUAUAACUAAUUGACAUCCAACAUAUCAUACCGGUGCAGUACUCAUACAACAUAUUGAUCGGUCAUCACCUUAUCAAUUUGAGUUAAGUUUGAGUUUUUUUUUGGACCGCACCUAUAUCGAUCGGUCAUCUUCUUAUCAGUUUGAGUUUAAGUUUUUGGGACCGCAACUAUAUCAAUAUGUCAUCACCUUAUCAGUCUGAGUUGAGUUUGAGUUUUUUUGGGAUUGCACCUAUAUCGAUCGGUCAUCUUCUUAUCAGUUUGAGUUUGAGCUUUCGGGACUGCACCUAUAUCGAUCGGUUAUCUUCUUAUCAGUUUGAGUUUGAGUUUUUGGGACUGCACCUAUAUCGAUCGGUCAUCACCUUGUCAGUCUGAGUUGAGUUUGAGUUUUUUUUUUGGGACCGCACCUAUAUCAAUCAGUCAUCUUCUUAUCAGUUUGAGUUUUAGUUUGAGUUUUCGGGACCGCACCUAUAUCAAUCGGUCAUUCAUUUUCCAUGUCAGUUUGAGUUUAGUUAGAGUUUUCGUUCCAUGUUAAUUUGAGUUCAGUAUGAGUUUUUCAAGACCGCACCUAUAUCGAUCAGUCAUUCAUUUGUCUUGUCAGUUCAGUUUGAGUUAAGGCCGCACCUAUAUCGAUCGACCAUUUUCCCAUUAGUUUAAGUUUCGAGACCGCAACUAUAUUGAUCGGUCAUUCAUUUUUUUUGUCAGUUUGAGUUGAGUUUUUUGGAGUCACACCUGUAUUAAUCAAUCAUCGUCUUGUCAGUUUGAGUUUGAGUUUUUGGGACCACACCUAUAUUGAUCGGUCAUUCAUCUUGUCGGUUUGAGAUUUCAGUUUUUGGGACCGCACCUAUAUUGAUCGGUCAUUGUCCAUGUCAGUUUGAGUUUAUGUUUUUUGGAACCGCAUCUAUAUCAAUCGGUCAUUGUCUUAUCAGUUGAGUUAAGUCUGUUCGGUCUUGAGCCACACUCUAUCCUCUCGAUCUUUGAGUUCACGACACAUAUUUCGGUCAUGUUGUUGGGCACCCUACGCUUAACGUUUUCAUGUGGUUCAUAUAGUCGUUCUCUUUGAAUGCAUUCUUUCCUGUACUCUAAGGUGGUUCGACCGUUACUCAUCUUUGACAUUGACCUACGAGUCACUUUUGGAGACGUCUUAAGGGGAGCUUGAGUCUUAAGUGCAGCUUUAGAGGCGCUUUGAGAUAUGUUUUUCUCUUAGGAUUAGAGCCCUUUUGUUCAUCUGUUGGCCUAAGUGAGUUCGUGUUUUACUAGUGUCCCUUUGAGGGUCUCCUUUGUUCUUCGGUAGAGUUCAUUUCAUUCCACUCACUAUUCACACUCACUUUUCACUUCAGUGUUCAUAUUCCUUGCACUCGUGAGCUCUACCGAAGAGGGGCAUAUUUGUAGACCUCCAUUUUGGGGGCUCAUUUUUCUCACUUUUCUACAGGUUUUUCUUACCAGAUGGAGGGCUCUCAAGGAGCCACGUGUCACCUUGUGGUUAGCUACUAGGGUAUCAUGUUAGUGGUUUGAAGAAGCAAUAGGGAAGGGACACGUAUUAGGGAAUAUUUAGCAAAAGAGCGUAUUUUUUGUUAUAGGGACAGUGAGGCUGUUAAGGAGGGAAGUGACUUGGUUGCUGGUUAAAGAGAUAUUUUGGGAUAGCUUGGAGGGCAAGAUAGGAGAAGACAUGAAAAGGAGGAAAGGGUAUUGAGAGAGGAUGAGAGGGAGUUUUCUAAGAGCUAGACGGGAUUUUCUGGUGAAAAGCUUGAGAAGAUUAGUUGAGCAAGGGAAUGGGUUUGAUGGGAUUUUGAUGUAAGACUAGAGAAAGAAGGUAGAGAGUUGGGUGAGGUGCAUUUCAAAGGAGAAAAACCAGAGAAAGAGAGAGUUGCAAACAAGCUAGAGAGAGGAAGAAAAUGAGCUUGAAAGGGGAAUAGCACAGAUCUGAUUUCUAUCAGAUGGAUUCCUUUGUUUUCAUACCAUUUUGUUAUGUUUUCCGAGAAUAAUAGGAUUUUUAUUUUGAUGAUUGGAUGUGAAUAUUGGAGACUUUUGCAUGCUUUUGUGGAAUUUGAGCUUGCUUGCCCUCACUAUACGCUUGAUUUCUAACCUGUUUUCUUGGCUUUAUUUUUGGCAUUCAUGUCUUGAUUUUUGCUUUGAAACCCAUUUGAGAUCCAUUUUGGCCCACCCCCAACAUCUAAGCCUGUUGAUUAAUACAUGAAACGAGGCUUACAUGGGUUCAUUUUGUUCCUAUUAUUCGUGCUCUAUUUUUCUAUUUUCCCCUGUUCCUGGUACCUAUUCAGAGGGUGACACAGUUUUCUCAUCUGUGCCUGAGAGAGUAAGGGACUACAAGGGGUGUAUUCCCAGUCCGUGGGUAUGAAAAGUUGUUCCACAGCCCGAGUCCAAGUAAGGAAAGUCAUUGAAAGCUUCUAUUAGGAAGUGUCUUCGCCGUGGUAAUCUUGGAGACUCUCAGGAUACAGAUUAUGGGGUAGAAAAGCUACAUGGAUGCUCAAUACUCUGGUGAAAUUGGUAUUGGUACCCUCCUCUCUCUCUCAAACGUUCACGGUAAUCUUUGACACUACUGGCUCAAACCUGUGGGUUCCAUCAUCCAAGUGCUAUUUCUCGGUUCCUUGCUGUUUCCAUUCAAAGUACAAGCAAUGCUAAUCAAAUACCCAUUGGAAGAAUGGAAAAUCUGCUGAUAUCCAUUAUGGUACCUGAGCUAUCUCAGGUUUCUUUAGUCAAGAAAACGUGAAAGUUGGUGUUCUUGCUGUGAAGAAUCAGGAAUUUAUUUGAGGUAACUAGAGAGCCCAGUGUCACAUUUUUGGUGGCUAAGUUUGGGAGGUAUAUGAGGAUGGAUUUCAAGAGAUUCCAGUUGGUAAUGUCGUCUCAGUGUGAUGCAACAUGGUGAAACAACUGGGUAUUGUGCUGGGAGGUUGUGCAGCAAUUGCAGAUGUUAAGAAUCAGAAGAACCUGAAACUGAUGAAAAACACCAAGAAACAGAGGAUGCAAAAGAAAAUGGAUUGCAGAAAAAACUAACUAAAAAAUUACAUCAGACUUGAGUCCUAUUUAUAAUACAUCAAUGACACAAUAACAAAGUAAAAAAAAAAAAAACUGAAAUAACAACUUUUCUAACUAACUCUUCUCAUCUAACUUGCUUUCUAUUUUAAUUCUUUCUUCUUUCCUUUUUAGUUUCAUGCUUUCAAUAUGAGAUGCAACACUCCAACACCCCCCUCAAGAGGAACAUGGAUGUUAAUGAUGUUCAUCUUGCAAAGAUUGUGAUGAAAAGGUAAAGAACCGAGAGGCUUUGUAAAGAUAUCUGCGAGCUGUAAUCAUGAUGGAAUAUGGAAGAGCUUAAUAACAUGUUGCUGCAAUUUUUCACGAAUAAGAUGGCAAUCAAUCUGGAUAUGCUUUGUUCUCUCGUGCUGAAUUGGAUUUGUGGCGAUGGACAUUGCUGAUUUACUGUCAGUGUAUAGUAAAGCUGACUGUGAAUGUUUGAUAUCCAGGUCUUGUAAGGCAUACAAAAGCCAUUGAAUUUCACAAGUGGUAGUUGCAAGGGCUCAGUACUUUGCCUCUGCAGAGGAUCGACUAACUAUAACUUGUUUCUUUGAUUUCCAUGAAAUCAAUAUGUUGCCAAGAAAAAUUGCAAAACCAGUGACACUCUUUCUAGUAUCGACACAGCCUGCCCAAUCACUAUCGAAAAAUCCUUUAAUUGAAAAUCUGAGGAAAAAGGAAAAAAGAGACCUUGCCCUGGUGUGGCCUUUAGAUACCUCAGUACUCGAAUGGCUGCUUGAUGGUGACUAACAACAGGUUUUGCUAAAAAUUGGCAGAGUACUAGUACAAAAUAGGCUAAGUCAGGCCUAGUGAGAGUUAAAUAAAGUAAUCUGCCAAUGAGUCUUCGAUAACCUGAUGGAUCUUCAUAGAAAUUGGUAUCAUUUGCUGAUAACUUGAGGGUAGAUUCCAUAGGGAAGGCAGCAGGUUUGGAUCUAGUUAAACCAGUGUCUUCAAGUAUGUCAAGUAUAUACUUUCGUUGGCAUAAGGAGAUACCAGUCUUGGACCUUGCAACUUCCAAGCCAAGAAAGUAUUUUAGUGGGCCUAAGUCCUUAAUAGUGAACUUGGCAUCUAAAAAGGUAUUCAACCUUUCAAUUUCCAGAAUGUUAUCACUUGCCAAUAGCACAUCAUCCACAUAGACUAAUAAGGCCAUAAAAGAACUUUCGGAUUUCUUAAUGAACAGAGAACAGUCAGAAUUACCUUGAAUAAAUCCAUAGGAAAGAAGGGUCUGGGAUAGUUUGGCAUACCAUUGCCUGGAAGCUUGCUUCAAGCCAUAGAGGCUCUUUAAAAGAUGACAAACUUUCUGUUCACCUUGGACAGCCAACCUAGGAGGCAAUUCCAUGUAUACCUCUUCAUGUAAAUCACCAUGUAAAAAUGCAUUAUUGACAUCUAGUUGAUGAAGAUGCCACUGUUUGACGGCAGCCAUAGCAAGUAGUAAGCGAAUGGAUGUAAUCUUGGCCACAGGAGAGAAAGUAUCAAAGAAAUCAAGGCCUUCUUGCUGAGUAUACCCUUUUGCCACCAAUUUAGCUUUAUGUCUUUCUAUAGUUCCAUCAACUUUAUAUUUCACUUUGAAUACCCAUUUACAACCAAUAGUCCUUUUAUUUUUAGGAAGAGUAACAAGCUCCCAAGUUUUAUUUAACUCUAAAGCAGUAAGUUCAUGUUGCAUGGUAGUUUGCCAUUCAGGGAGGCGAGAAGCUUGGGUGUAUGAUUUGGGUUCUAGAGAGUUUGUGAUAGAGGUGAGAAAAGCUUUAUGGGAUGUAGACAGUCUAAUAGUAGAAAGAAAAUGGUGAAGAGAAUAGAAAUUACCUUUAGUGGGAGAACAGUCAAUUGAAGUAGAUGUCUGAGUUGCAUUUUGAGAAGAAGAGACAUUACCACAAUAAUAGUCCUGCAGAUAUAAAGGUUUUUGUUCAAUUCUAGUUGAUUUUCUGAGCUGUAGGACUUUAGGGUAAGUUGAAUCCAGAUGAGAUGGAGAGGGAAAUGUAGGUGAGUUGGAUUCAAGAAGGGCAGGAGGUUCAGAGAGAGAAGGAGAAUUAUUAGGUGGUGAUGCAGAUCCCACAUUAUGAUAGGAAUUGAAGAAGGAGGUGGUAGAAGGUGAAUUUGAAAAGGAUUGUGAAAGAGGAAACAUAAAAGAAUGAGUUUCAGGAUGUUGGGGCAACACUUGGAAAGGAAAAAUUGUUUCAUGGAAUAUGACAUUCCGAGAAACAAGGAUCUUAUUGGUGUUUAGAUCCAUGAGUUUAUAACCCUUAAUAUCAGAAGGAUAUCCUAGGAAGAUGCACUUUGUGGCUCGUGAAUCAAAUUUUUGUCUAUGACUAGUUAAAGUGGAUGCAAAACAAAGGUAGCCAAAAACUCUUAAAUGAGAAAGGUUAGGUGUUUUGUUAAAAAUCAUUUCAAAAGGGGUUUUAUUUUGAAGUAGAGGAGUGGGAAUUCUAUUAAUUAUGUGGGCAGCAGUAAGCACACAGUCACUCCAAAAAAUUAAUGGUAGAUUUGCUUGAAACAUUAAGGCUCUAGCAGUGCUUAGUAGAUGUUGAUGUUUUCUCUCCACAACACCAUUUUGUUGAGGAGUUUUGACACAACUUCUCUGAUGCAAAAUACCAUAUUUAUGAUAGAAUUUUGUAAGUAAGAAUUCUGGUCCAUUAUCAGACCUUAUAGCUUUGACAGAAGAAGAAAAUUGGUUUGCUACCAUUUUACAGAAAGUUUUGAUUAAAGAUGGCACUUCUGAUUUAGCUUUAAUCAUGUAUACCCAAGUACACCUUGUGAAGUCAUCGACUAUAGUUAAAAAAUAUCGAAAAACCAGAAUAAGAAGUAGUGCCAAAGGUACCCCAUAUAUCACAAACAUUUGUAUGAUCAAGAGUGAUAGCAGAGUCAAUCUGUUUGAGGAAAUGGAAUCUUGAACUAGAUACAUCUCCUAAUCUACAAUGCCAUAUAUCUAAGUGUUUGUGAAUAGAGGACAAAGCAAGAGGAGCAUAAUUAAACUGAAAUGAAUUGCAGGUUUUAGCUUGUGAUGAAGUUGGAAUCAGAUGGUAAAGUCUUUCUUUUUCAAGAACAAUCCCAAUCAUCUUCUCCAUUGACUAGUCCUAUAAAAGGCAAUGAGAAACAAUAAAGGUAAGAGAAAGAUUAGAUUGUUUAGUGAGUUUGGAAACGGAUAAUAGAUUGAAUGAAAAAUGAGGAACAAACAGGACAUUAUGUAAAAAUAAGGAAUCUGAGAGACAUACAGUACCAAUGUGUGUGGCUGGAACUGUAGUACCAUUAGGAAGAUUGAUGGAUGCAUUAAUUGGUUUAGGUGUAGAAUGGUAUAAAAGUGGUGAACAAAUCAUAUGGUCUGUUGCACCCGUAUCAAGAAGCCAAUAUGAAGUGGAAUUUGGCUUAGAAGUAACAAAAUUACAAGAAAAAAUUGGUUUAAGUGUAGGUUGAACUUUACCAGAAAAGUGAGAGGUGGUGACAAGGUUAACAGCUGGUUGGACAUUAUUCUGAUUGGAAGAAUUGGGUUGAACUGAAUUUGCAAGCGCCACUAGUUUAUGAAAUUCCUCUGGAGUGAAACAAAACUUUUGUUGCUCAUUGCUAUUUUGAUUGGGAACCUCUGGAGUAGUAAUGGCAGCAUGAGCAGAAGCCAUAUUUCUUUUUCCUUUUGGUCCAUUCCAGCCAGGGGGAUAACCAUGAAGUUGAAAACAUUUGUCCACUGUGUGACCAUUAUAGCCACAAUGAGUACAGUGUAGGGCAGAUUUCUUUGGUUUGUCCUUGAAAGAUUGUGGCUGGUAUCUCUGCUGAUUAGAUUGCUUUGCCAUCAAAGCAUGAGUCUCAUUAUAUGUAGCAGAAUUUGUGAGUUGCCUCUAACUUUCUUCUUGAAGCAGUAGAGAGAAAACCUUGGACAUGUUUGGUAAUGGAACCAUUAGUAGCAAUUGGCUUCUGAUAGAGGCAUAAGAAUCAUUUAACCCCACCAAGAAUUUGAGUACAUAAUCAGAUUGCUGUCUGAUUUGUAGAAAGUUGAAAAGUUCACAAGUGCAUGUUGCCAUCUUGCCACAAGUGCAUGUUGGAAAUGGCAUAUAGCUAAUGUACUCAUCCCAAAAGGUCUUAAAGGUACUGAAAUAUUCAGUAACAGACAAAGCACCUUGACUGAUGCAACUCAAAGAUUUCUCAAGUUGGAAAACCCUUGGUCCAUCACUCCUGAGAUAUCUUACUUUAAGCUCAGUCCAAAGAUCAACAGCAGAUACCACAAACAGCAAGCUAUUUCGUAUUUCUUUUGAAAUGGAAUUCAUCAACCAAGAAAGAACCAGAUUAUUUGCCCUUAACCAGGUUGUGUGUUUAACAAGCUGAUCAAUAGAGGGAGAAACAAUUGAACCAUCUAUAAAUUGUACCUUGUUUUUGACUGUCAAUGCAAUGACUAUCGAAUGACUCCAUGCAACAUAGUUUUCUCCAUUGAAGAUUUCUGAUACUAACAAAGCACUAGGAUUGUCGCUUGGAUGUAGGUAAUACGGACUCGAUGAGUCAUCUGAAGGAUUGAUAAGAGGCUGAUUAAAAGAAUUAGAUGAAGAAGGAUGCACAGGAGAGGGAUUGACAAGAGGAGAAUCACCAAAACUCAUUUUCAAGAAUUUAUUCAAGAAAAUGCAAGAAGCUGGAAGACAAUCAAUGUAAGAAUUCCAUAGCAGAAUUUCGCAAGGCAGAAGUUGAGAAGAAAUUGAUUGAUUUAGGUUGCGGAAGCUUUAGGGUUUGGCUCUGAUACCAUGUUGAGAAUCAGAAGAACCUGAAACUGAUGAAAAACACCAAGAAACAGAGGAUGCAAAAGAAAUGGAUUGCAGAAAAAACUAACUAAAAAAUUACAUCAGACUUGAGUCCUAUUUAUAAUACAUCAAUGACACAAUAACAAAGUAAAAAUAAAAUAAACUGAAAUAACAACUUUUCUAACUAACUCUUCUCAUCUAACUUGCUUUCUAUUUUAAGUCUUUCUUCUUUCCUUUUUAGUUCCAUGCUUUCAAUAUGAGAUUGCAACACUCCAACAGCAGAUUUUGGAACUUCUUUGUUGGCAGGCCUAACAGCCGCUGUCGUUAUGAUAUAGUCAUACCAUUGGAGCCACCAGAGUUAUUAGCCAAGCAUGUAAGGCUGUAGUUGCACGGUGGGCAAACAAUCAUGGAUUUACUGCUAUUAGAGGCAUCACCCCUGAAGAUUUGCUUGCAAAUUGGGUUGGGCACCUUUAAUGAGACUCGUGGUGUUGACAUGGGCAUUGAGGGUGUUGUGGAUGAGGAGCAAUUUGAUGAUGCUAGUCAUGGGUUGAAGCAGCUGCAUGCUCUCGGUUACCCUCCCACUUUUGCAUGGCCAUGCAUGGCCCCACCAAGCCUUUGCAAAGCUUUCCAACUUCAUACUCCACCAUACUCAUCACUGUUCAUGCUCACUAACCUCCACUACCCAUUCCACAUAUCUCAUGUCCAAUCCUCCUACACCAUUCAUAACCCCCCUGCGUAUCACUAUUUCUUUAGUACCCACUAACCCAUUUCAUCCUUCAUCCUUGAUCCAUCAUACCCUCCAUCAAACCCAUCACUACACUCUCACCUUGAACCGCAUUCACAUGUCCAAUUACCAGCUGCCACUACUCAUUUCCCACUCAUGCACGCAAGAAUUAUGCAUCCAUGUCUGUCCUUCAACACCACGUACCCUUCAUACCCAUCUCCCUAACCACACCACUAAACCCACUUCUUUCUCUAAGUCUUCAUCCUUCAUUACCCAUUAUCUCCACUGUCAAACCCAUAUCUCAAGCCAAUCUUCUUCAUGUCCAACAUCUCAGGACAAACCCACCAUUCGGCCAUCCUUGAUGUUCAUCAACUCACCACCAUGCUCCUCAUUUCCGUCCCAUAUUCUGGAUUGCCUUCAGGCAACGAGGUCCAUAACUAUUUAGUUCAAGGUGAUGAUCCAUAACCCUUCGUCACUGUGAUGGUCAAUGACCGAAAUGGAGGAACAGAGCAGUUGUGGAGCUUAAACAAUUCAUCAAUGGCAGCCAGGAGUGAGCAUGCAGUGGAUAACCUAGAUGCAGUGGUUUCAAUGGCAGACAGAGCGUUCGGAACAGCACAGAAAGAAAAUUAAGUUAUUUCUUGUGUGGAAUGGGUAAUAGGUUAUGUUUUGUUUUUAAAAAAUUUGAGAGAAAAUGUAAAAGAAAGAAAACAAAAAGAAAAAAAAAAAAAUAAAUAAAUAAAUUAUUUAAAUUUAAUAAAUUAUUUCCAUUCACUUUUUUAAACUCAUUUGACUUAUUUUUCAUAUUAUAAUAAAAUUAAAUAAUUUUAAAAUAUAUAAAUUUUAAAUUAAUUUUAAUUAUAUUAUAUUUUUUAUUUUUUAUUGUGUAACCAAAUAUGAAAAAAUUAUUUUUUAAAAUAUUUUUUUUUAGUAUUUUUAGGAACCAACAUAACCUAAUUAUUUAAAAUAAAAGAAAAUAUGCAUAAAAAUAGAAAAAUAAAAAUAAUUAUUAUUAGAGCAAUAAAAAGAGAGUAAUACGAGAUUUUCAAUAAUUGGCGCGCUCGCGCAGAAACCCAAGCCCUACGCCAACUCCCUUGGAGAAAUCGCCUGCAAAAUCCAUAGGGAUUUUCUUCAUAGGGUACGUUUUGACUGCUGAAAAGUUCCGGGUUUCUGUUUGUUUCCCGAGAAAGUGGGCAAAAAUGGUGUCUUUUUCUUCUUUUCUUUUUUCUGGUUUGUUGAGCAAGGUAGGGGGUUUUGUGUAUGGUUGUUCUGAAAGUGGGGGAAAGUAAGAGGAAUCGAAGUUUUUGUUUUCUUUCUUCCCCAUUUUAUGUUUUAUGUUUGUUUUGGUUGCUGAGAAGUGAAGAAUUUUGUGUUGGUUGCUGAUAAACCGGAGGAAAUGAGGAUUAAAUGAAGCUGUUCUAUUUUUUCUUUUUUCUUUUUUUAACUACUUUUAGUUUCAAUGUUUUCGGUUGUUUUGGUUGCUAAUCAUGUGUGUAUUUUCUGUUUGGUUGUCUAGAAAAGGCUGGAAAUGAAAAGAAAAUUUAGUCUCUUUAUUUCAUGUCUAGUGUUGUUUUGGUUGCUAAGACAAUUAAGGGAUUUUUGUUUUCUUGUUCUGGAAAUUGAGAAAAGGAAAAGGACCAAUGAAGUUUUGUUUUGUUAGUUUUAAGUUUCAGGUUUUCUAUUUCUGUUGGUUGAGAGAGUGAAUUUUUUUUUCCUUUUUCUGUUUAGUUUCCUAGAAAUGCAUGAAAAGAAGAGAAAAUGAAGUUUCUUUAUUUCAUGCCUUGUGAUUGGAGGAAAUGAGAAGUUUUCCCAGCAUGUUUUAUGUUAGCUUUUGGAGAUGAUCUCAAGGAGAUAAAAUGAAGCAACUGACUAUGAUAUGUUUUAUUCACUUUCAGGAUGGCAAAUACAGGGGAAGAUUUAUCUCAAUUUGAUAUUUCCCAAGAGGUGCACAAUGCUGUCUUAGUUCCUCUUAGUGAGUUCAAUCUCUUUAUAUUGCUGAGCUGAAUGAUCCUUUGUUUUUUUUGGUGCAUCCAGGAAAAGGACAAGCUUGUGGCAGAAGUAAUUCGCUAUGUCCUAUUUAAAACCCACCAAAAUUCAGGGUGCCCAAUCAAGAGAGAUGAACUUACUCAACUCGUUACUAAGAAUUAUCGCCAGCGUGCUCUCCCUGCUCUUGUAAUCAAUGCAGCCAGAGAGAAGCUAUCCACCAUUUUCGGCUAUGAAAUGAAGGAGCUUCAACGAUCUCGACCUUCAUCCACCAAUCAGGGUCGCACUUCACAACAGAGUUAGAAGCUUUUCCUCCCACUUAAUUUUUUAUGGUAACAAUUUUGUAGCUUCAACAUAGUUUUGUGGAUCGGAUGUAAGUUGAUUUGAUUCACAUUGUUAAUGCAUGCUUGAAGUUUGAAGUUGCUCCUAGAUUCAAUGGGUUUCAAUAAAUUGGGUUAAAUUUGAAACCUACUGUUAAGGAAUAUCCAAUCUCAUUUGCUAUUGAAUAGGUGAAAUCUAAAUACUGCAAGUUCUAACCUUCAAAAAAGAAUGGAUAGCUUCUUGUGAAUUGAGAUCCAUGAAUUACUAGUUCUGAUGCACGGUUUGGCAUGGAAAGCAAUCUAGGGAAUGGUUGGUUCCCUUGUGCCAAAUAAUGGGCCUGAGCUCAUAUAACAGGUUCUUUAGCAAUGUUACACAUAGGCUAAUUGCGCAUGCAUCAUAUAUUUAGUCAGUUUUCAGGAUAAAUCUAGUGAAAUAUAAAUGAAUUUAUGCAUCAUUAUCUAUUCGGGGCAGAUCUUUUUCAUGUUGAAUUUAGAACAAUCAAAUUGUACCAGAUCACUGACAUAUGAGUGUAUAAUUUGUAUGAUAUGUCCAUAAAAGUCCACCAACAUCAAGAUCAUGAUUCAUUUCAUUGCUGCAAUAAGUUGUUGCCAGUGCUGUUGUGGUUCCCCUGAACUGCGACUUCCACUACUGGUGUAUUCUCUUUCAUCCCAAGGCCAGUGCCACCUUAGUAAAUCUGUUCUACCCACAUCAUCUUUACAACAUCGCUGGUCAAUGUCAAUGUUACCACCUCGCAGCCAGCCUCUCUACCUCAAUCGUUGAUAACAAAUUUAAUUGUCGUCUCCACAUAGCACUCUUUCAUCUUCUGUUUCACCAUUUAAACUAGAUUUACCCUGGUAGCGGUUUGUAUGCAUGAAUAUGUAGGUGCAUUUAAAAAGUAGAAGAAAAUACACUAUGUUCGGAAGUUCUGCAUCCAGUAAACUAUUUUAAAAAGAUCUUUGAAGUGGCGCUGUUAGGAAAAUCAAUGCCUAAGUAUGUAGAACUAUGAAAAUUUGGCUUCAGUGGCAGGUGUACCUGCAUCCCUUCAUUUCCAAAGCCCUCUCAAUUUGUUCUUCUGAAGAAAAAAACCUGAUCUGAAUGCCCAUCUAUUUUUCCUGAUGAAAAUAUGCAUUGUUGAAUGAUAAACCUAUCAUUUUUUCUUUGCAUGAUUUUACAGAUAUAUUUAUCCCAUACAUUUUAAUGAGCAACCAAAAGGAUCAGGUUGUGUGUGUGGAUAUAUUAGGUUCCACCAUUGGUAAUGCUGGACAGGUGCCUGCCCCUUUUUGUGCUUGCUUCUUCUGUUUUGGCUCUAAUUAUGGUCUAAUGAUGCAUUUUUUCCAGGUUUUGCAGAUGUAAAAUCUUAUGUGAUCAUAAGUCAGCUACCUGCUGAUGUGUAUCGGAAAUAUGUUGAGGAUGUAAAUACAGCACAUCUGACUGGAUUUACCUUCGUCAUUGUUAGUAUUGUAUAUCUUGCUGGAGGGAAAAUUGCAGAAGGUAUACUUUCUAAUUGAUUUUUUUUUUAAUUUUUUUAUUUGAUAGGUAAAUAUGAUCAUAGUAUGCUUUCUAAUUGAAUUGUUCUGGAAUGCUGAUCUUUUGGAUGGUAUUUCUAUGUAAUAUGAAUGCCAAGAUAGAGAGCAAUAAUUUGGGUUGGAACCAUCCUUACUCCGUUCAGCCUGGAUGUGUAUGUGGUUGGAACCUGAAUCUGUUUGGAAAUCUGGGCCAUCAGCUCAGUGGGUGUUCCGCUUUUCUAUAAAUUCAUUAAGAAUGUGUAUAAAAAUUGAGCAGAUGGCUAGGAUUUAUUUUUCAACUUGAGAAUCCCAUAUGAAUUUUGAAGGUCAAAAUGUCGUUAUUAUAAUACCCUGCUUCUAGUUCUUUACCAACAUGACAGAACCUACUACCAUUGUGGUGAAAGCAUUGCAGAUGGUCUUUGGCAUCAUAUGAGGCGGAUGGGAUUGUAUGAAAAUGAAGAAAACCAUCCUGUCCUUGGAAACAUUAAGCAGGCGUUGGAAGCACUUGUCCAGCAAAGGUUAGACCAAUUUGAUAAGGUGGAUUUUAUAUUUAUUAUGAGUUCCUUCACUUGAUGGACCUUAGUUUGCUAAGCCCAUAAUUGAACUGAUCUGUAGGUAUUUGCAGAAGGACAAAGUGAAUGGUCCUGAGGGCAAUACUUUGUUUUACGAGCUUGCUGAAAGAGCUUUAGAUGAAGCCAUUAGCAAGAAGAUUAAAGAGUAUAUAUCACAGGUAUUAUUUGGAGAAUAAUAGGUUUGUUAAUGCUUUUGGUGGGUUUAUUUAUUUCAUGUUUAUGUUUCAAUUCUACUGGCAGACUGAAUUCCUUUGGGGAGUGUUAAACCCCAUCUUUUGUAAAGCUAUUCCCAUUGUCAUCAAUUUGGCAUUCUGAAGGAAUUUUGUGAUGGCAGAUUGUGCAGAAUGAUGGUGCCUCGGCAGAUGUUGAAUAGUGUCUUGCACCUAAUUUAUGCAGGUAUGCUUGAUAGUUUUAGUUUAUAGCUGAAUAGCUUUCACUCGAUGUACAAAUUCUAAUUAACAAAAAUGAGAUGUUUCUGAUGCAGAAAGAUGUGGUGGCUGAUAAAUAGUGAGGAGUUGGAUUGACGAGGACAUGCUCAACAGAAUGGAUAGAGCUGCAGCUGAGAUGCCCAAUUGCCCAUUUUUGCUUGAUGAGUCUUAAAACAUCUUUGUUUGGGAAUUUUGUGGAAUUGUAGUUAUUUUAUAUGCCCUAGUGGGACCCCUUAUGUUUACAUUUGCCCAAAAUUAAAUCAGAACCUUCAGAGUCUCAACUUGGUGCUAGUCAUAGCUCAACCAUUGCGACACUCCUUGUAGAAUCUUACAAAAGAUGAAAAGAAAAGAAUUCUGACGAGAAGAUAUACAUCAAAUAAAUGAAAAGAAAAGAAAAAGAGAAUAAAUUUCAGAGACAACAAACACUGAACCGCUAGAGAGAAUCCUUAUGGCAUCCCAGUGUAACUUUUAAGAACAUGGUUGCACGAUAUAUGCAGAAACAAGCUUCAGAUGAAUUGCUUUAGAAACUCUGUAGCUACAAGCCUCCCACGUGUGUUCACCGACAAUUUCAAUUCGCUUAUCUCUUUAUCGAUAUCCUGCAAUAUGGGAAGAUGCAGUUUGAGAAACUCAUCACAAAGAUACCAACAGUAUCAGAACAAAAAGAAACUGUUAACAAAUAACCAACAGGAAACAUUCUAGUUUGAUACUCAAAGAAUCCUAUUUUGUAUUGCAUGCUCUGCAAAAAGGAUCACCCAACAAUACUUGGAUCUCACCUUUGACAUCUGAACGGUAAAUCACAUCAGAUUUCAUCACAUCAAAUGGUGAAAGUCUGAGUCAAAAUGGGAAACGAAAAUCUAGGGAUUAAGUUUUCUGCGCAUGUUGGUAUUUGAAGAAUGAAAGAAGUGCAUGUUUUAAGGAAUGGUGCUUAAGAACCCAUGCUUCUGGCCCCAUGCCCGGAUUGCCUAUCAUUCUCCAAUUCUAAGUAAAAGAUUAGCAGUACUAAAAAUACUAGCAAAUAGAGAAAUAGUACUGGUCAGAGAGCAAGCAUGUGGCUAAUUAUCUUACGUUCCCGUGGGCCCUGUUUUCCACUGUCAUUGUGGUCUGGUUGCUCCUGAGCUCAGUAAAUGAGUCUAAGUAGAUAGCAUGGUAGCUUAAUGGAGUUGAGGAGAAAAGUGAGGGACACAUCCCCUUGGCCUUAGGUGCAUUUGGAAGGUAACAAAAAGGAGAAUUGUUGAGGGGGAGUCAUGGAGGAGCUACAGGUAUAAGUUUUAAAGGACCAGUUUCUCAAGCCUUUGUUACUCUGGUCCAAGGAUUCUCUUGGGGAUGGUGGUCUAUUUGUUUGUUCAUUUUAUUGAUUUUAUUGAUAGAUUAGGGUUGACAUAAGUUGAUUCUUAAUGUCCAUUUCAUUGUGGGGUGAUUGUUUGUUACUUUCUGAAUACUAGGGUUUGCUGCCCUUUAUGGUGCUUUAUUAUAUUAUAUAUUUGCUUAUAAAAUAGACACAUGUGAUUCUCGACUGUUUCGAGUGAAACCCACAAUCUUUUGAAAAUAAAAAUAGAAAGCAAACAUUCCCCAACCAAAAAUACUGGUUGUUUUGAUCAUCCUCUUAGGAAGGCAAACAAUGAAGGAAAAUCUGACAUAAACCCUACUAAUGUGAACCAUGACCAAACUUGUAACAACCCACUCUCAACCAUGUAAAUAUUGUCAGUGCUAGGCCCAAAGUGUCAUCAUAGUUUUAAAAUGUGUCUAAAAGGUUAAAAGAGUUCAUACAUAUACAACAUCGGAAACUUUUUCCCCUAUUCAAUGUAAGAUAUCAUAAUCACUAUCUCCCCAAUGUAAACACAACAUUCUCAUUGUAUCCCAUAGGAUUAUGGGACCAAACAAGCAGAUAAAGUUUCACAUUGGGAUCAGGGAUAGACUUUGAUACCAUUUAUAAUGACUCAUUCCCAACUGUAUAAAUAUUGUCUCCUUCAAGUCCGAAAGACCAAUAUGACUUUAAAUGAAUCUACAAGAUAAAAAGUUCAUAUAUAUAUAGUGUCAAAAACUUUUUCCCUUAUCUAAUGUGGGAUAUCACAAUUGGAUAUCAUUAGUUGAGGAUCAAAGAUGAGGAUAUACCAAUACUACUUUUCAAACAAGAUAUGAGCAUUAUGAGUUUUUGGUGAUACCUUUUGGUUUGACUAAUGCAAUUACUAUAUUUAUAGACUUAAUGAAUAAGGUAUUCAAACCCUAUUUGGAUUAGUUUAUGGUGAUUUUUAUAGAUGAUAGUUUGGUUUUACUCAGAGUUGAGAGGUACAAGAGUAUCGUUUGAGCAUUGUAUUGCAGACUAUAAGGGAUAGGUUGUAUGUUAAACUAAAGAAGUGUGAAUUUUGGUUAUGCAACAUCUCUUUCCUUUGGCAUGUGGUAACCAAGGAUGGCAUCUCAAUUAACCUUAAAAAGUAGAUGUUGUAGCCAAUUGGAGGAGACUCUGUACCAUGAUUAAGAUUCAAAUUUUUUUGGGACUUGUCGGUUACUACAAGCGGUUUAUUGAGGGGUUUUCUAAGAUCACCCUACCUUUGACCAAAUUGACACAGAAGGGGAUUAAGUUUGAGUAGUUUGAUAACUAUGAGCGUAGCUUCCAAUAGUUGAAAAGCAAAUUUGUGGCAAAUCUUGUUUUGACUAUUCCUUUAGGUUUAGGAGGAUUCGUAAUGUAUAGUGAUGCCUCCCACCAAGGUUAGGGAUUGAGUUCUUAUGCAGCAUGGGAAAGUUGUGACUUAUGCUUUUAGAAAGUUAAAAUCUUAUGAGUGAAACCACCACAUCAUGAUUUAGAGGUAGUUGUAGUGGUUUUUGCUCCUAAGAUUUGGAGACAUUUCCAUUUUGGUGAAACUUGUGAGAUAUUCAUGGAUCAUGAGAGUUUGAAGUGCUUGUUUUCCCAAAAGGAAUUAAACAUGAGACAGAAGAAAUUGAUAGAAUUACUUAAGGACUGCAUUAUUCAAUAUCAUCCAAGAAAGCGGAGUGUUGUGGUUGAUGCCUUGAGAAAGAAAUCAAUUGGCUUCUUAGCAACUAUAAGUGUUGGUUAGAAGCGAUUAUUAGGAUUUGAGGUGUUUAUAGGUCUAUAUCAGAGUUUUGGACUAAGGAGCUUAUGUGGCAAAUUUCAUAGUACAACUAGACUUAGUUGGGAGAGGGAGAAUUAAGACCCUACAAAAGAAUGACCCUCAAUUAGUGCAACUUAUGGAGACAAGGCCUUGAGAUUUGGGACAAAACUCUAUGUCCCAAAUGACGGAGACUUAAUGAGGGAGCUUUUAGAGGAAGCUCAUUGUUCUAGGCUUACGAUCCACCUUGGAGAGACGAAGAUGUACAAAGAUUUAAGACAUAAUUAUUAGUGGUCAAGCAUGAAACAAGAUAUUGCACAUUUUGUGGCUAAGUGUUUGGUGUGCCAAUAGGCGAAAGCUAAGCAUGAACAACCAACACAGUUUGUGCAACCACAUUCUAUUCCUAAAUGGAAGUAGGAACAUAUUACCAUGCAUUUUGUGACAAGGCUGCCCAAAACCUUAGGAGAUAAUGAUGCUAUUUGGGUAAUUGUUGAUCAAGUAACAAAGUUUGCUCAUUUUCUACCUAUGAAAGCCAAUUUCUCCAUGGACCGACCGGUUUCUCUUUAUGUCUAGGAGAUUGUGAGAAUGCAUGAGGUACCCAUUUCUAUGGUAUCCAAUAGGGAUCGUCAUUUUACUUUCAAAUUUUGGCAUAGUUUUUUUUUUAAAAAAAACUCUCAAUAUGAAGUUUUAGUACUACUUUCCAUCCUUGGAUCGAUGGCUGGUCAAAGAGAGUAAUUCAGGUUUUAGAAGAUUUGUUGAGAGCAUGUGUUUUGGACUUGAAAGGUAAUUGGGAUGAUUACUUACCUUUGGUAGAUUUGGCCUAUAAUAAUAGCUUUCAAACUAGUAUUGGGAUGACCCCUUCAAGGGGGAUGUACGGAAGGAGGUAUUGAUUAUUUGCUUAUUGGAUGAGGUUAGAGAGAGGAAAUUUUUUGGUACUAAACUUGUGUAGUUAAUUGUUGAAAAAUUUGCUUUAGUUAAAGAAAAAUUAAAACCAACUCAAAGUAGACAGAAGAGUUAUGUUGAUAAUCACGGGAUGAGAUGGAAUUUGAGAUUGAAGACCAAGUGUUCUUAAUAGUUUUGCCUAUGAAAUCUAUAAUGAGGUUUGGGAGGAAGGAAAAGCUUAGUCUUUAGUUUGUGGGAUUGUAUGAAAUAUUAGAAAGAGUAGGCACUUUGGCAUAUAAAGUGGUCCUACCCCCAAGCUUGUCUAAGACCCAUAAUGUAUUCCGUGUAUUAGCUUUGAGGAAAUAUGUUUUUAAUCCCUCUCAUGUUAUAGAGUUAGAGCCUAUUCAAAUUUCAAAGGAUUUGACUUAUGAAGAAGUAUCCAUUCAUAUGGUAGAUAGUAUACGGUACUAUGUCAUACUAUUAUCAAGUUGGUAAAGGUCUAGUGGAUCAAUCAUAAGUAUUCAAGAGACUACGUGGGAAUUAGAGGAAGAGGUGAGAAGCAUUCACAUCUAUUUUGAGUUUUUGGUAUGUCAAGUUUAGAAAACUAAAUUUUUGUUAAGGAUGAGAGGAUGUAAUGCCCAAACUUGAUUUUAGGUGUAAAAUGGUCAUUUUAAAAAUAAAGAAAUUAAUUAAUAACAUUAAAAGGGUAGAAAGGUCUUUUCCUAAUAAUAAAAAACCCUAGGUGUAAAUAAUAAGUUUUCUUUACUUCUCUAUAUAGACAUCAUUCUGCAUAAAGACCAAAGAGAUAAGAGAAUAUAUAGCUAAAGAUUUGAGAGCCUAGAGUUCGAAGAUCAGUUUUUCAAGUAAUAUUCUAACCCUUUGAUGAGUAUUUUCGAUUCAUUAAAUGGAUUUGAGCAACUUAAAUGUUCUUUUAAAAAUCCAAAUUUAGAUUAGGCCUAAAAUAUAUUUAAAUUAAAUCAUUUGAAAUAUAUGGACAUAGAUUGGAUUUUUCUUGGAGAUAGGGAAUUCCAACCAUUAUAUAUAUAUAUCAUGGUUGAAGUGAUGAAAGUUUCAAAGUGGACUGGAACCACUGUGAGGAAGAAAAAAAACAUUGUGUGAUGAUUGUAGGAAAAGAAAAUAAAUAAAAGAAAAAAAAAUGAUUGUGUGGUUUUGCGUGUGAUGAUGGUAGAUGGCAGGAAAAACAGGAAAAAACAAACAAACAAACAAACAAAAAAGAAAGAAAGGAGUGUGUGCAUGUGAUCACUGUAGGCAUUGGAUUGGAGAAAAAAAAAAGGGGAAAGAGAAGAAGGAAUGGAGUGCAUGAAUAGGAAAGUGAAAAAAAAUAUAUGCAUUAAAAAUGGAAGGAGGCAUAUGACAGCUGGUAAGAUGUGAAGUGCAGUGCAUGGCUGUGAUAGUGAAAAUUUGUCAGCAUACAAAGCCUAACAAAUUUGCAGGAUUUCUUGGAAUAUGCCUGAAUCUUUUGACAAGAAAACUGAGUAUAAGCAAAAAUAAAAUUUUGAAUCCAAACUUUAGUUUCUUCAAAAUUCAAAUUUUAUUUUUUCAUUAAUGGUCCAUUUGAUGAAGUUGAGACCACAAUGGACAAAUCUACACCAAUAAUUCUUUGUUCAUUUGUGGAGAAAAUUGACGAAAAGAAAGGAAAAAAAUCUCUCAGUCGUGUUUCAAAAAAGGAAGAAGAAAGAGAGACACAUACAAAGAAAUAAAAUUCAUCUCAACCAAGUGGCAGAUCAGCCACAAUGAUGACUUCUAGCAGCUGCAGACCUGUGGCAGAGGUGAUAACUAGUAGCCUCUACCAGUGACAUGGUGAUUUGAAGUAGGAUUAGUGAAGCAAAGGAUGGAAUGAGGGAUUCAGGAAAAUCUGUUAUUUGUGAGUGGAUAUUUAUUUAUUUUUGAUAGAUAAACAACAAUAUAUAUUAAAAAAGGGCCAAAAAGCCACAAGUAUAUAGGGGUAUACACAGAAGCCCAAAACAAGAAACUGAAAGAAGAAAGGGGAGUAACCUCGCCCACCCUCAAGUGGCCGCGAGCCACUCCAAAAAGCCUAAGAGAGAAUAGGUUUCCUCUCCAAUGUACACCCUAGCCCAACUCCACAAGUUACAUACAAAAGAAUUUUUGAAUUUCUGAAUAGCUAACGACCCCCCCCCCCCC